rnacentral:lncRNA from 1 species
CAUCUACUGUAAACAACUGCAAAAUCAUGAAUGUACCUGCAGACCUACGAACUACAGAACCAGAUUCAGACUGCACAAAAAUGAGAAGUAGCAGGGCGUACAGAAGAACCUUCCAACCAAAACUGAAUAAAACAAGCACACGUUGAACAAUAAUUCAGACAGCAACAUCACUAAUUCUUCAAACCAACAAGCAGCACAAUUCUUACAGAGAUUGUAACAUCGCACUGCUAACUACACACAGAACGCCGCCAUCAGCUCAUGAAACGAGGAAGACGCCUAGGCUGAGGUGAACUUGGUGACGGCCUUGGUGCCCUCGGAGACGGCGUGCUUGGCGAGCUCGCCGGGGAGGACGAGGCGGACGGAGGUCUGGAUCUCCCGGGAGGUGAUGGUGGGCUUCUUGUUGUAGCGGGCCAGCUUGGCGGACUCGCCGGCGAGCUUCUCGAAGAUGUCGUUGAUGAAGGAGUUCAUGAUGGACAUGGCCUUGGAGGAGAUGCCGAUGUCGGGGUGCACCUGCUUGAGCACCUUGAAGAUGUAGAUCUUGUACGUCUCCACGCUCUUCUUGGCCUUCUUCUUCCCCUUCUUCUCGCCGCCCUCCUUGGACGCCGUCUUCCCGGCCGCGGGCCUCUUCUCCGCCGCCGGCUUCUUCCCCGCCGGGGUCUUCUCCGGCGCCGGCUUCUUCUCCGCCUUGGGUGCCAUGGGUGCUUCGACGGCGGUGGAGUUUGGUUGGAAGGUGUGUGCUGAGAGGGGAUGGGGAUGCGGAUGCUGCGAUGUGUGGAGGCGGAUCGGGCGGCGGGAUUUGUUAUAUAGAGUGGAACGGAGGAAGAAGGUGGGCUGUGAUUGGUGGAGAUGGGAUGCCGCGGAUCGAUGCCUUUGGGUUAGUUUCAGCCGUUCGUCGUUGUGUGUGGAUGGACGGACCGGAUGCGCUUUGACGCGGAUCGGUGACGUGGCGGAAACGCUCACGGGCGGGUCGGUCGAUCGACAGUGGCCUGGCUGCGACGCGUUGCAGUUGCACAGAGAGCAGCUUGCCGGCUGAGGGCAUCUUCAGCCGCGCCUCCAAGAAGGUCCUAUAAGUAUGUUUUCGUCCGUCGAUGCUAAAAAAUUGAUCCAGUUGUAUUUCCAAAAGCUCAGUUUUUGCCGGCUCGGGUCGAAAUUAGCGCUGGCGGACCCAACCCGAACCCGACGCGCUGGGAGUCGCUCGGGUGCGUCGGACGAAUCGUUUUUGACGCGAAGAGCCGCGGGCCCGCCGCGUCAGCGACUCUACUCUCUUCUCGCACCUUCGUCGUCCUCAUCGCCUCGUUUCCCACGGCGAAUCAAUGCCAAAGAUGUCGCGCGCUGCCGCACCGGUCAGCCUCCAUUGGUGCCUCACGGGCGGCGCAGUGAAGGCUGGGCGACGCGCCCCUCGGCCGUCACGCAAUCAUGCCACGCGUAACGCGUCGGCCAAGCCUACCAUGCGGCGUCUCCACCUAUAAAAGCCGACUGCAAGCGCGCCGGAGAGACUCACUCCGAUCAUCCACCGACGACGCGCUCAUUUCUCCCCCUUUCCUCCUCUCGCCGUCACCAGUUGAGAAAGCAUGGCCGAGCGUUUCCCAGGCGAUGGCGCGGCGGUGAACGGAUUCGGGCGCCGUCAUCUGCAUGAGGACGAGGCUCGCCUCCUUUUCGAGGCCGAGUACCCGGUCCCGCCGGACAUGCAGGUGCCCGGGGCGUGGAGGAUCAGCGCCGGCGGCGUGCCAGUGCCCCCGGUACCCACCGGCGCGGCGCGGCGUGCGGAGAUCGCACGCAUCCGCUCACUAGUAGAAAACAGGGCUUUGCUCCAGACCGGGUCAGCCCAUUAGUCCCGGUUCAGUCUAGAACCGGGACCAAUGUGGGCAUUGGUCCCGGUUCGUGAGCCCAGGGGGCCGGCCGGCCCACGUGGGCCAUUGGUCCCGGUUCAUCUGGACCUUUUGGUCCCGGUUUGUGGGAUGAACCGGGACCAAUGGGCCUCGCUCCUGGCCCACCACCAUUGGUCCCGGUUGGUGGCUUGAACCGGGACCAAAGGCUCCCCUUUAGUCCCGGCUCAUGUCACCAACCGGGACCAAUGAGGUGCCUAUAUAUACCCCCUCGCGCAAGAGCAGAGCAAAAUGCUCUGUUUUUUCUGGCCGAGGGGGAGAGAGCUUUGUGGUGCUUUAGCUCACCUCCUAUGCACAUGAGGUGUUCGAUGGAAUGCCCGAGCCACACUACUUAAGCUUUCUCCUCUCGAAGCUCGACCUCCAAGCUCCAUUUUCCUCGAGAUUUGUCUAGAUUUAGCGGUUCGUCACGCCCCGUCCCCGUCUUCACCGCCGUCGAUCACCCGCGCCGAUCUCAUCACCGACACCACCAUGGUGAGCCUCUUUUUCUUAUCUUCUUUCUGAAAAGAAAAAUAUUCUUACUUGUAUGUUUAGAUAGAUACUUGUAUCAUUUUCUUACAUUUAUUAUUGCAUCUUAUAUAGUGCGAUGGUUUUGGUAUCCGCCCCCGUCGGCCCUCGUCCUGUCUAUGAUUCGGAUGUGGUAUGUAUAUUAUCUUUAUAACUAUUGGUUCAUUUAUUGUUUAUGAAAAUUAUGCCGACCAACGUGACAUAGAUUUUAUUUAUCUAGGAUGUAUGUGAAUCGGAAAUGCUAACCGACCCUAUUGUCGAGAGGUUAAAUUUAGUUGAAGAAGAAAACAAUUUUUUGAAGGAAAAAAAUUGAGGAGGAGAAGAUGAUAUUGGAGUUGCAUGUUGCGGAUGUCGUCGAUGAUCACAAGAUCAAGAUGGAUGCAAUGCACUUGAAGAUUAGAAAUAUUAGAAAAUAUGCCAUUCAUACCGAGGCUUGGUAUCAUUAUGCCGUUGGAUCAAUUGUUACCUUGAUUGCGAUUAUGAUCGCAUUUGUUUCCGCAUUGAAAUGUUUUACAUAGUUUCAAUGUAUGGUUUAAUUAAUUAGAUGCUCUGGAAAGCUAUAUGUUGUUAGAUGAGAACUAUGUAUGCACUUUGGUUUUAAUGUGAUGAUGAACUUCUAUUAAUUUGGACACUUAAUUAUAUAUAAUGCACGCAGAUGAACCGGCAAUGGAUGUACGGUGACAGACACACCCGCGAGUACAUUAAGGGCAUGCAUGAGUUUCUCGAUGCGGCUGAGGCAAACAAGCAGAAUGGUUUUAUGUGUUGUCCAUGCACUGAAUGUGGGAAUACGAGGUCUUACUCUAACCGGAAAAUCCUUCACUCCCACCUGCUUUACAAGGGUUUCAUGCCACACUAUAAUGUUUGGACGAGGCACGGAGAAAUAGGGGUUAUGAUGGAAGACGGCGAAGAAGAAGAGUACGAUGACAACUAUGUGCCCCCUGAAUACGGUGAUGCUGCAACGGGGGGAGCUGGUGAAGAUCAAGAGGAACCAGACGAUGUGCCCAAUGAUGCUGCAACGGGUGAAGCUGCUGAAGAUCAAGAGGAACCAGACAAUGUGCCCGAUGAUGAUGAUCUCCGCCGGGUCAUUGUCGAUGCAAGGACGCAAUGCAUUAGUCAAAAAGGAGAAGCUGAAGUUCGAUCGCAUGUUAGAGGAUCACAAAAAAAGGUUAUACCCCAAUUGUGAAGAUGGCAACACAAAGCUCGGUACCGUACUAGAAUUGCUGCAGUCGAAGGCAGAGAAUGCUGUGGCUGACAAAGGAUUCGAGAAGUUACUGAAAAUAUUGAAGAAGAAGCUUCCAAAGGAUAACGAAUUGCCCGACAAUACAUACGCAACAAAGAAGGUCGUAUGCCCUCUAGGAUUGGUGGUGGAGAAGAUACAUGCAUUCCCUAAUGACUGCAUCCUCUACCGUGGUGCAUACAAGGAUCUGAACGCAUGCCCGGUAUGCGGUGCAUUGCGGUAUAAGAUCAGACGAGAUGACCCUGUUGAUGUUGACGGCGAGCCCCCCAGGAAGAGGGUUCCUGUGAAGGUGAUGUGGUAUGCUCCUAUAAUACCACGGUUGAAACGUCUGUUCAAAAACGAAGAGCAUGCCAAGUUGAUGCGAUGGCACAGUGAGAACCGAAAGAAAGAUGGGAAGUUGAGAGCACCCGCUGAUGGGUCGCAGUGGAGAAAAAUCGAGAGAAAGUACUGGGAUGAGUUUGCAAAGGACCCAAGGAAUGUAUGGUUUGCUUUAAGCGCGGAUGGCAUUAAUCCUUUCGGGGAGCAGAGCAAUAAUCACAGCAUCUGGCCCGUGACUCUAUGUAUGUAUAACCUUCCUCCUUGGAUGUGCAUGAAGCGGAAGUUCAUUAUGAUGCCAGUUCUCAUCCAAGGCCCUAAGUAACCCGGCAACGACAUUGAUGUGUACCUAAGGCCAUUAGUUGAAAAACUUUUACAGCUUUGGAAUGGAAACGGUGUACGUACGUGGGAUGAGCACAGACAGGAGGAAUUUAACCUUAAGGCGUUGUUGUUCGUGACCAUCAACGAUUGGCCCGCUCUCAGUAACCUUUCAGGACAGACAAACAAAGGAUACCACGCAUGCACGCAUUGUUUAGAUGACACUGAAAGUAAAUACUUGGACAAAUGCAGGAAGAAUGUGUACCUGGGCCAUCGUCGAUUUCUUCCGACCAACCAUCAAUGUCGAAAGAAAGGCAUGUUGGAAAUAUGCCCUAGAGGCAAUAAUAAAAGGAUUAUUAUUAUAUUUCCUUGUUCAUGAUAAUUGUCUUUUAUUCAUGCUAUAAUUGUGUUAUCCGGAAAUCGUAAUACAUGUCUGAAUAAUAGACACCAACAUGUCCCUAGUAAGCCUCUAGUUGACUAGCUUGUUGAUCAACAGAUAGUCAUGGUUUCCUGACUAUGGACAUUGGAUGUCAUUGAUAACGAGAUCACAUCAUUAGGAGAAUGAUGUGAUGGACAAGACCCAAUCCUAAACAUAGCACAAGAUCGUGUAGUUCGUUUGCUAGAGUUUUCCAAUGUCAGGUAUCCUUUCCUUAGACCAUGAGAUCGUGUAACUCCCGGAUACCGUAGGAGUGCUUUGGGUGUACCAAACGUCACAACGUAACUGGGUGACCAUAAAGGUAUACUACGGGUAUCUCUGAAAGUGUCUGUUGGGUUGACACGGAUCAAGACUGGGAUUUGUCACUCCGUAUGAUGGAGAGGUAUCACUGGGCCCACUCGGUAAUGCAUCAUCAUUAUGAGCUCAAAGUGACCAAGUGUCUGGUCACGGGAUCAUGCAUUAUGGUACUAGUAAAGUGACUUGCCGGUAACGAGAUUGAACGAGGUAUUGGGAUACCGACGAUCGAAUCUCGGGCAAGUAACAUACCGAUUGACGAAGGGAAUUGUAUACGGGGUUGCUUGAAUCCUCGACAUCGUGGUUCAUCCGAUGAGAUCAUCGAGGAGCAUGUGGGAGCCAACAUGGGUAUCCAGAUCCCGCUGUUGGUUAUUGACCGGAGAGCGAUCUCGGUCAUGUCUACAUGUCUCCCGAACCCGUAGGGUCUACACACUUAAGGUUCGGUGACGCUAGGGUUGUAAAGAUAUGAAUAUGCAGUAAUCCGAAAGUUUUUUGGAGUCCCGGAUGAGAUCCCGGACAUCACGAGGAGUUCCGGAAUGGUCCGGAGGUAAAGAAUUAUAUAUAGGAAGUGUUGUUUCGGCCAACGGGAAAGUUUCGGGGUCACCGGUAUUGUACCGGGACCACCAGAUGGGUCCCGGGGGUCCAUCGGGUGGGGCCACCCAUCCCGGAGGGCCCCAUGGGCUGAAGUGGGAGGGGAACCAGCCCAUAGUGGGCUGGUGCACCCCCCUUGGCCCACCCCCUUGCGCCUAGGGUUGAAACCCUAGGGUGGGGGGCGCCCACUUGUCUUGGGGGGCACUCCACCCCCCUUGGCCGCCGCCCCCCUUGGGAGAUCCAAUCUCUAAGGGGCCGGCGCCCCCCAGGAAUCACGACUUGCAUGUCGAUGAGUAUGACAACCGGCAGGAGCCAUAGGAGUUGUCUUUAUUUUUUGUAUGACCUGCGUGUCAUUGAGAAACGCCAUGUAAAUUACUUUACUUUAUUGCUAAACGCGUUAGCCAUAGUAGUAGAAGUAAUAGUUGGCGAGCAACUUCAUGGAGACACGAUGAUGGAGAUCAUGAUGAUGGAGAUCAUGGUGUCAUGCCGGUGACAAGAUGAUCAUGGAUCCCCAAGAUGGAGAUCAAAGGAGCUAUGUGAUAUUGGCCAUAUCAUGUCACUUUUAUUAUUUGAUUGCAUGUGAUGUUUAUCAUGUUUUUGCAUCUUGUUUACUUAGAACGAUGGUAGUAAAUAAGAUGAUCGCUCAUAAUAAUUUCAAGAAAGUGUUUCCCCUAACUGUGCACCGUAGCGACAGUUCGUUGUUUCGAAGCACCACGUGAUGAUCGGGUGUGAUAGAUUCUAACGUUCACAUACAACGGGUGUAAGACAGAUUUACACAUGCAAACACUUAGGUUGACUUGACGAGCCUAGCAUGUACAGACAUGGCCUCGAAACACAGAAGACCGAAAGGUCGAGCAUGAGUCGUAUAGAAGAUACGAUCAACAUGAAGAUGUUCACCGAUGUUGACUAGUCCGUCUCACGUGAUGAUCGGACACGGCCUAGUUAACUCGGAUCAUGUUAUACUUAGAUGACAGGAGGGAUGUCUAUCUAAGUGGGAGUUCAUUAAAUAAUUUGAUUAGAUGAACUUAAUUAUCAUGAACUUAGUCUAAAAUAUUUACAAUAUGUCUUGUAGAUCAAAUGGCCAACGUAGUCCUCAACUUCAACGCGUUCCUAAAGAAAACCAAGCUGAAAGACGAUGGCAGCAACUACACGGACUAGGUCCGGAACCUGAGGAUCAUCCUCAUAGCUGCCAAGAAAGAUUAUGUCCUACAAGCACCGCUGGGUGACGCACCUGUUCUCCCUGCAGAACAAGACAUUAUGAACGCUUGGCAGGCACGUACCGAUGACUAUUCCCUCGUUCAGUGCUGCAUGCUUUACAGCUUAGAGUCGGGGCUCCAAAAACGUUUUGAGAGACACGGAGCAUAUGAGAUGUUCGAAGAGCUGAAAAUAGUUUUCCAAGCUCAUGCCCGGGUCAAGAGAUAUCAAGUCUCCGACAAGUUCUUCAGCUGUAAGAUGGAGGAAAACAGUUCUGUCAGUGAGCACAUACUCACUAUGUCUGGGUUGCAUAACCGCUUGACUCAGCUGGGAGUUAAUCUCCCGGAUGACGCGGUCAUUGACAGAAUCCUUCAGUCGCUUCCACCGAGCUACAAGAGCUUUGUGAUGAACUUCAAUAUGCAGGGGAUGGAAAAGACCAUUCCUGAAGUAUUUGCUAUGCUGAAAUCAGCAGAGGUAGAAGUCAAAAAGGAACAUCAAGUGUUGAUGGUGAAUAAAACCACUAAGUUCAAGAAAGGCAAGGGUAAGAAAACCUUCAAGAAGGACGGCAAGGGAGUUGCCGCACCCGGCAAGCAAGCUGCCGGGAAGAAGCCAAAGAAUGGACCCAAGCCCAAGACUGAGUGUUUUUAUUGCAAGGGAAGUGGUCACUGGAAGCGGAACUGCCCCAAAUACUUAGCGGACAAGAAGGCCGGCAUCACAAAAGGUAUAUGUGAUAUACAUGUAAUUGAUGUGUACCUUACUAGUACUCGUAGUAGCUCUUGGGUAUUUGAUACCGGUGCAGUUGCUCACAUUUGUAACUCAAAGCAGGAGCUGCGGAAUGAGCGGAGACUGGCGAAGGACGAGGUGCGAUGCGCGUCGGGAAUGGUUCCAAGGUCGAUGUGAUCGCCGUCGGCACGCUGCCUCUUCAUUUACCUACGGGAUUAGUUUUGAAACCUUAAUAAUUGUUAUUUAGUGCCAAGUUUGAGCAUGAACAUUGUAUCGGGAUCUCGUUUGAUACGAGAUGGCUACUCAUUUAAAUCCGAGAAUAAUGGUUGUUCUAUUUAUAUGAGAGAUAUGUUUUAUGGUCAUGCUCCGAUGGUGAAUGGUUUAUUCUAUUGGGGAACGUAGUAAUUUCAAAAAGAAUUCCUACACACACGCAAGAUCAUGGUGAUGCACAGCAACGAGAGGGGAGAGUGUUGUCUACGUACCCACACAGACCGACUGCGGAAGCGUUGACACAACGUAGAGGAAGUACUCGUACGUCUUCCCGAUCCGACCGAUCCAAGCACCGUUACUCCGGCACCUCCGAGUUCUUAGCACACGUACAGCUCGAUGACGCUCCCCGGGCUCCGAUCCAGCAAAGCUUUGGGGAUGAGUUCCGUCAGCACAAUGGCGUGGUGACGAUGAUGAUGUUCUACCGACGCAGGGCUUCGCCUAAGCACUACAACGAUAUGAUCGAGGUGGAAUAUGGUGGCAGGGGGCACCGCACACGGCUAAGGAAUGAUCACGUAGAUCAACUUGUGUCUAUGGGCUGCCCCUUGCCUCAGUAUAUAAAGGAUGGAGGAGGAGGAGGCCGGCCAAGGCUUGGUGCGGCCAGGAUGUGGAGUCCUACUAGGAUUCCAAGUCCUAGUAGGAGUCCACCAAGAGGGGAGGAAGGGAGAAGGAAGUGGAGGAGAAGGAAAGGUGGCCGGCCCCCUUUUCCCUAGUCCAAUUCGGACUAGAGGGGGGGGGGGGGNNNNNNNNNNNNNNNNNNNNNNNNNNNNNNNNNNNNNNNNNNNNNNNNNNNNNNNNNNNNNNNNNNNNNNNNNNNNNNNNNNNNNNNNNNNNNNNNNNNNNNNNNNNNNNNNNNNNNNNNNNNNNNNNNNNNNNNNNNNNNNNNNNNNNNNNNNNNNNNNNNNNNNNNNNNNNNNNNNNNNNNNNNNNNNNNNNNNNNNNNNNNNNNNNNNNNNNNNNNNNNNNNNNNNNNNNNNNNNNNNNNNNNNNNNNNNNNNNNNNNNNNNNNNNNNNNNNNNNNNNNNNNNNNNNNNNNNNNNNNNNNNNNNNNNNNNNNNNNNNNNNNNNNNNNNNNNNNNNNNNNNNNNNNNNNNNNNNNNNNNNNNNNNNNNNNNNNNNNNNNNNNNNNNNNNNNGGGACUCCGAACUCCUUCGGUACAUCAAAACUCAUAAACUCAUAAUAUAACUGUCAUCGAAACCUUAAGCGUGCGGACCCUACGGUUCGAGAACAAUGUAGACAUGACCGAGACACGUCUCCGGUCAAUAACCAAUAGCGGGACCUGGAUGCCCAUAUUGGCUCCUACAUAUUCUACGAAGAUCUUUAUCGGUCAGACCGCAUAACAACAUACGUUGUUCCCUUUGUCAUUGGUAUGUUACUUGCCCGAGAUUCGAUCGUCGGUAUCCAAUACCUAGUUCAAUCUUGUUACCGGCAAGUCUCUUUACUCGUUCCGUAAUACAUCAUCCUGCAACUAACUCAUUAGUUGCAAUGCUUGCAAGGCUUAAGUGAUGUGUAUUACCGAGAGGGCCCAGAGAUACCUCUCCGACAUUUGGAGUGACAAAUCCUAAUCUCAAAAUACGCCAACCCAACAUGUACCUUUGGAGACACCUGUAGAGCUCCUUUAUAAUCACCCAGUUACGUUGUGACGUUUGAUAGCACACAAAGUGUUCCUCCGGCAAACGGGAGUUGCAUAAUCUCAUAGUCAUAGGAACAUGUAUAAGUCAUGAAGAAAGCAAUAGCAACAUACUAAAUGAUCGGGUGCUAAGCUAAUGGAAUGGGUCAUGUCAAUCAGAUCAUUCAACUAAUGAUGUGAUCCCGUUAAUCAAAUAACAACUCUUUGUUCAUGGUUAGGAAACAUAACCAUCUUUGAUUAACGAGCUAGUCAAGUAGAGGCAUACUAGUGACACUCUGUUUGUCUAUGUAUUCACACAUGUAUUAUGUUUCCGGUUAAUACAAUUCUAGCAUGAAUAAUAAACAUUUAUCAUGAUAUAAGGAAAUAAAUAAUAACUUUAUUAUUGCCUCUAGGGCAUAUUUCCUUCAUAUUCUUAAUGAAUCUCGAGCGUAAUGCUACACAUAUUCAUAGUGUGAGUACCAAACGAUGUAAGGUUGAUAAUGAUAGUCCCACAUACUUGUGGCACUGCCGCCUUGGUCACAUAGGUGUCAAACGCAUGAAGAAACUCCAUGCAGAUGAACUUUUAGAGUCUCUUGAUUAUGAAUCAUUUGACACGUGCGAACCAUGCCUCAUGGGUAAAAUGACCAAGACUCCGUUCUCAGGAACAAUGGAACGAGCAACCAACUUAUUGGAAAUCAUACAUACUGAUGUGUGCAGUCCAAUGAGUGUUGAGGCUCGCGGUGGCUAUCGUUAUGUUCUCACCCUCACUGAUGACUUGAGUAGAGAUGGGUAUAUCUAUUUGAUGAAACACAAGUCCGAGACCUUUGAAAAGUUCAAGGAAUUUCAGAGUGAGGUUGAAAAUCAACGUGACAGGAAAAUCAAGUUCCUAUGAUCAGAUCGUGGAGGAGAAUACUUGAGUCACGAAUUUGGCACACAUUCAGAUCAACGGGCCUUGUGAGAGAAUCUUAAUCAAUGGGCCUGCCACAUUCAGAUCCGCAUGUAUUUUGCAAAUUUCUAUGUCAACAACGCUCUGCAUGGAGCUACUCUAGCUAAUUGCUCCCACUUUCAAUAUGUAUCCAGAUUGAGACUUAGAGUCAUCUGGAUUAGUGUCAAAAACUUGCAUCGGCGUAACCCUUUACGACGAACCUUUUUUCACUUCCAUAAUCGAGAAACAUAUCCUUAUUCCACUAAGGAUAAUUUUGACCGCUGUCUAGUGAUCUACUCCUAGAUCACUAUUGUACUCCAUUGCCAAAAUCAGUGUAGGGUAUACAAUAGAUCUGGUACACAGCAUGGCAUACUUUAUAGAACCUAUGACUGAGGCAUAGGGAAUGACUUUCAUUCUCUUUCUAUCUUCUGCCGUGGUCGGGCUUUGAGUCUUACUCAACUUCACACCUUGUAACAUAGGCAAGAAACUUUUUCUUUGACUGUUCCAUUUUGAACUACUUCAAAAUCUUGUCAAGGUAUGUACUCAUUGAAAAAAGUUAUCAAGCGUCUUGAUCUAUCUCUAUAGAUCUUGAUACUCAAUAUGUAAGCAGCUUCACCGAGGUCUUUCUUUGAAAAAUCCUUUCAAACAUUCCUUUAUGCUUUGCAGAAUAAUUCUACAUUAUUUCCGAUCAACAAUAUGUCAUACACAUAUACUUAUCAGAAAUGCUGUAGUGCUCCCACUCACUUUCUUGUAAAUACAGGCUUCACCGCAAGUCUGUAUAAAACUAUAUGGUUUGAUCAGCUUAUCAAAGCGUAUAUUCCAACUCCGAGAUGCUUGCACCAGUCCAUAGAUGGAUCGUUGGAGCUUGCAUACUUUGUUAGCACCUUUAGGAUUGACAAAACCUUCUGGUUGCAUCAUAUACAACUCUUCUUUAAAUCCAUUAAGGAAUGCAGUUUUGUUUAUCCAUUUGCUAGAUUUCAUAAAAUGCGGCAAUUGCUAACAUGAUUCGGACAGACUUAAGCAUAGAUAUGAGUGAGAAACUCUCAUCGUAGUCAACACCUUGAACUUGUCGAAAACCCUUUGCGACUAUUCUAGCUUUGUAGAUAGUAACACUACUAUCAGCAUCCGUCUUCCUCUUGAAGAUCCAUUUAUUUUCUAUGGCUUGCCGAUCAUCGGGUAAAUCCAUCAAAGUCCAUACUUUGUUCUCAUACAUGGAUCAUAUCUCAGAUUUCAUGGCCUCAAACCAUUUUGCGGAAUCUGGGCUCAUCAUCGCUUCCUCAUAGUUCGCAAGUUCGUCAUGGUCUAGUAACAUGACUUCUAGAACAGGAUUACCGUACCACUCUGGUGCGGAUCUCACUCUAGUUUACCUACGAGAUUCGGUAGUAACUUGAUCUGAAGUUUCAUGAUCAUCAUCAUUAGCUUCCUCACUAAUUGGUGUAGGUGUCACAGAAAUCGGUUUCUGUGAUGUACUACUUUCCAAUAAGGGAGGAGGUACAGUUACCUCAUCAAGUUCUACUUUCCUCCCACUCACUUCUUUCGAGAGAAACUCCUUCUCCAGAAAGUUUCCGAAUUUAGCAAGAAAAGUCUUGCCUUCGGAUCUGUGAUAGAAGGUGUACCCAACAGUAACUUUUGGGUAUCCUAUGAAGACAUAUUUUUCCGAUUUGGGUUUGAGCUUAUCAGGACGAAACUUUUUCACAUAAGCAUCACAACCCCAAACUUUUUAAGAAACGACAACUUUGGUUUCUUGCUAAACCAUAGUUCAUAUAGUGUCGUCUCAACGGAUUUAGAUGGUGCCCUAUUUAACGUGAAUGCAGCUGUCUCUAAUGCAUAACCCCAAAACGACAGUGGUAAAUCGGCAAGAGACAUCAUAGAUUGCACCAUAUCUAAUAAAGUACGGUUACGAUGUUCGGACACACCAUUACACCGUGGUGUUCCAGGUGGCGUGAGUAGUGAAACUAUUUCACAUUGUUUUAACUGAAGGCCAAACUCGUAACUCAAAUAUUUUACCUCUGCGAUCAUAUCGUAGAAACUUUUAUUUUCUUGUUACGAUGAUUCUCCACUUCACUCUGAAAUUCUUUGAACUUUUUGAAAUGUUUCAGACUUGUGUUUCAUCAAGUAGAUAUACCCAUAUGUGCUCAAAUCAUCUGUGAAGGUCAGAAAAUAAUGAUACUUGCCACGAGCCUCAACACUCAUCGGAUCGCAUACAUCAGUAUGUAUUAUUUCCAAUAAGUUAGUUGCUUGCUCUAUUGUUCCAGAGAACGGAGUCUUAGUCAUCCUGCCCAUGAGGCAUGGUUCGCAAGCAUCAAGUGAUUCAUAAUCAAGUGAUUCAAAAAGCCCAUCAGCAUGGAGUUUCUUCAUGCGCUUUACACUAAUAUGACCUAAACGGCAGUGCCACAAAUAAGUUGCACUUAUCAUUAUUAACUUUGCAUCUUUUGGUUUCAAUAUUAUGAAUAUGUGUAUCACUACGAUCGAGAUCCAAUGAACCAUUUUCAUUGGGUGUGUAACCAUAUAAGGUUUUAUUCAUGUAAACAGAACAACAAUUGUUCUCUAACUUAAAUGAAUAACCGUAUUGCAAUAAACAUGAUUAAAUCAUAUUCAUGCUCAACGCAAACACCAAAUAACACUUAUUUAGUUUCAACACUAAUCCUGAAAGUAUAGGGAGAGUGCGAUGAUGAUCAUAUCAAUCUUGGAACUACUUCCAACACACAUCGUCACCUUGACUUUUACUAGUUUCUGUUUAUUCUGCAACUCCCGUUUUGAGUUACUACUCUUAGCAACUGAACCAGUAUCAAAUACUGAGGGGUUGCUAUAAACACUAGUAAAGUACACAUCAAUAACAUGUAUAUCAAAUAUACUUAUGUUCACUUUGCCAUCCUUCUUAUCCGCCAAUCACUUGGGGUAGUUCCGCUUUCAGUGACCAGUCCCUUUGUAGUAGAAGCACUUAGUCUCAGGCUUAGGACUAGACUUGGGCUUCUUCACUUGAGCAGUAACUUGCUUGCCGUUCUUCUUGAAGCUCCCCUUCUUCCCUUUGCCCUUUUCUUGAAACUAGUUAUCUUGUCAACCAUCAACACUUGAUGUUUUUCUUGAUUUCUACCUUCGUUGAUUUCAGCAUCACGAAGAGCUUGGGAGUUGUUUCCGUUAUCCCUUGCAUAUUAUAGUUCAUCACAAAGUUCUACUAACUUGGUGAUGGUGACUAGAGAAUUCUGUCAAUCACUAUCUUAUCUGGAAGAUUAACUCCCACUUGAUUCAAGCGAUUGUAGUACCCAGACAAUCUGAGCACAUGCUCACUAGUUGAGCGAUUCUCCUCCAUCUUUUAGCUAUAGAACUUGUUGGAGACUUCAUAUCUCUCAACUCAGGUAUUUGCUUGAAAUAUUAACUUCAAUACCUGAAACAUCUCAUAUGGUCCAUGACGUUCAAAACAUCUUUGAAGUCCCGAUUCUAAGCCGUUAAGCAUGGUGCACUAAACUAUCAAGUAGUCAUCAUAUUGAGCUAGCCAAACGUUUCAUAACGUCUGCAUCUGCUCCUGCAAUAGGUCUGUCACCUAGCGGUGCAUCAAGGACAUAAUUUUUCUGUGCAGCAAUGAGGAUAAACCUCAGAUCACGGAUCCAAUCCGCAUCAUUGCUACUAACAUCUUUCAACACAAUUUUCUCUAGGAACAUAUCAAAAUAAACACAGGGAAGCAACAACGCGAGCUAUUGAUCUACAACAUAAUUUGCAAAAUACUACCAGGACUAAGUUCAUGAUAAAUUUAAGUUCAAUUUAAUCAUAUUACUUAAGAACUCCCACUUAGAUAGACAUCCCUCUAAUCCUCUAAGUGAUCACGUGAUCCAAAUCAACUAAACCAUGUCCGAUCAUCACGUGAGAUGGAGUAGUUUCAUUGGUGAACAUCACUAUGUUGAUCAUAUCUACUAUAUGAUUCACACUCGACCUUUCGGUCUCCGUGUUCCGAGGCCAUAUCUGUAUAUGCUUGGCUCGUCAAGUAUAACCUGAGUAUUCCGCGUGUGCAACUGUUUUGCACCCGUUGUAUUUGAACGUAGAGCCUAUCAUACCCGAUCAUCACGUGGUGUCUCAGCACGAAGAACUUUCGCAACGGUGCAUACUCAGGGAGAACACUUCUUGAUAAUUUAGUGAGAGAUCAUCUUAUAAUGCUACCGUCAAUCAAAGCAAGAUACGAUGCAUAAAAAGAUAAACAUCACAUGCAAUCAAUAUAAGUGAUAUGAUAUGGCCAUCAUCAUCUUGUGCUUGUGAUCUCCAUCUCCGAAGCACCGUCAUGAUCACCACCGUCACCGGCGCGACACCUUGAUCUCCCUCGUAGCAUCGUUGUCGUCUCGCCAAUCUUAUGCUUCCACGACUAUCGCUAUCGCUUAGUGAUAAAUUAAAGCAUUACAUCGCGAUUGCAUUGCAUACAAUAAAGCGACAACCAUAUGGCUCCUGCCAGUUGCCGAUAACUCGGUUACAAAACAUGAUCAUCUCAUACAAUAAAAUUCAUCAUCAUGCCUUGACCAUAUCACAUCACAACAUGCCCUGCAAAAAUAAGUUAGACGUCCUCUACUUUGUUGUUGCAAGUUUUACGUGGCUGCUACGGGCUUAAGCAAGAACCAAUCUCACCUACGCAUCAAAACCACAACGAUAGUUUGUCAAAUAGACUCCGUUUUAACCUUCGCAAGGACCGGGCGUAGCCACACUCGGUUCAACUAAAGUUGGAGAGACAGUCGCCCGCAAGCCACCUAUGUGCAAAUCACGUCGGGGGAACCGGUCUUGCGUAAGCGUACGCGUAAUGUUGGUCCGGGUCGUCUCGUCCAACAAUACCGCCGAACCAAAGUAUGACAUGCUGGUAGGCAGUAUGACUUAUAUCGCCCACAACUCACUUGUGUUCUACUCGUGCAUAUAACAUCAAACCAUAAAACCUGGCUCGGAUGCCACUGUUGGGGAACAUAGUAAUUUCAAAAAAAAUUCCUACGCACACGCAAGAUCAUGGUGAUGCACAGCAACGAGAGGGGAGAGUGUUGUCUACGUACCCACACAGACCGACUGCGGAAGCGUUGACACAACGUAGAGGAAGUAGUCGUACGUCUUCCCGAUCCGACCGAUCCAAGCACCGUUACUCCGGCACCUCUGAGUUCUUAGCACACGUACAGCUCGAUGACGCUCCCCAGGCUCCGAUCCAGCAAAGCUUCGGGGAUGAGUUCCGUCAGCACAACGGCGUGGUGACGAUGAUGAUGCUCUACCGACGCAGGGCUUCGCCUAAGCACUACAACGAUAUGAUCAAGGUGGAAUAUGGUGGCAGGGGGCACCGCACACGGCUAAGGAACGAUCACGUGGAUCAACUUGUGUCUAUGGGGUGCCCCUUGCAUCAGUAUAUAAAGGAUGGAGGAGGAGGAGGCCGGCCAAGGCUUGGUGCGGCCAGGAUGUGGAGUCCUACUAGGAUUCCAAGUCCUAGUAGGAGUCCACCAAGAGGGGAGGAAGGGAGAAGGAAGUGGAGGAGAAGGAAAGGUGGCCGGCCCCCUUUUCCCUAGUCCAAUUCGGACUAGAGGGGAGGGGGGGCGCAGCAGCCCCUUGGCCCUUUCUCCUCUUUCUACUAAAGCCCAUCAAGGCCCAUUGCUUCUCCCGUAACUACCCGGUACUCCGAAAAAUACCCGAAUCAUUCGGAACCUUUCCGAUGUCCGAAUAUAGUCGUCCAAUAUAUCGAUCUUUACGUCUCGACCAUUUCGAGACUCCUCGUCAUGUCCCCGAUCUCAUCCGGGACUCCGAACUCCUUCGGUACAUCAAAACUCAUAAACUCAUAAUAUAACUGUCAUCGAAACCUUAAGCGUGCGGACCCUACGGUUCGAGAACAAUGUAGACAUGACCGAGACACGUCUCCGGUCAAUAACCAAUAGCGGGACCUGGAUGCCCAUAUUGGCUCCUACAUAUUCUACGAAGAUCUUUAUCGGUCAGACCGCAUAACAACAUACUGAAGGAAAUAUGCCCUAGAGGUAAUAAUAAAGUUAUUAUUUAUUUCCUUAUAUCAUGAUAAAUGUUUAUUAUUCAUGCUAGAAUUGUAUUAACCGGAAACAUAAUACAUGUGUGAAUACAUAGACAAACAGAGUGUCACUAGUAUGCCUCUACUUGACUAGCUCGUUAAUCAAAGAUGGUUAUGUUUCCUAACCAUGGACAAAGAGUUGUUAUUUGAUUAAUGGGAUCACAUCAUUAGUUGAAUGAUCUGAUUGACAUGACUCAUUCUAUUAGCUUAGCACCCGGUCGUUUAGUAUGUUGCUAUUGCUUUCUUCAUAACUUAUACAUGUUCCUAUGACUAUGAGAUUAUGCAACUCCCGUUUGCCGGAGGAACACUUUGUGUGCUACCAAACGUCACAACGUAACUGGGUGAUUAUAAAGGAGCUCUACAGGUGUCUCCAAAGGUAGAUGUUGGGUUGGCGUAUUUCGAGAUUAGGAUUUGUCACUCCGAUUGUCGGAGAGGUAUCUCUGGGCCCUCUCGGUAAUGCACAUCACUUAAGCCUUGCAAGCAUUGCAACUAAUGAGUUAGUUGCGGGAUGAUGUAUUACGGAACGAGUAAAGAGACUUGCCGGUAACGAGAUUGAACUAGGUAUUGGAUACCGACGAUCGAAUCUCGCGCAAGUAACAUACCGAUGACAAAGGGAACAACGUAUGUUGUUAUGCGGUUUGACCGAUAAAGAUCUUCGUAGAAUAUGUAGGAGCCAAUAUGGGCAUCCAGGUCCCGCUAUUGGUUAUUGACCGGAGACGUGUCUCGGUCAUGUCUACAUUGUUCUCGAACCGUAGGGUCCGCACGCUUAAGGUUUCGAUGACAGUUAUAUUAUGAGUUUAUAAGUUUUGAUGUACCGAAGGAGUUCAGAGUCCCGGAUGAGAUCGGGAACAUGACGAGGAGUCUCGAAAUGGUCGAGACGUAAAGAUCGAUAUAUUGGACGACUAUAUUCGGACAUCGGAAAGGUUCCGAGUGAUUCGGGUAUUUUUCGGAGUACCGGAUAGUUACGGGAGAAGUAAUGGGCCUUGAUGGAGCAGUCAAAGAAAGAGUUCUUGACUGUAUUACAAGGUGUGAAGUUUAGUAAGACUCAAAGCCCGACCACGGCAGAAGAUAGAAAGAGAAUGAAAGUCAUUCCCUAUGCCUUGGCCAUAGGUUCUAUAAAGUAUGUCAUGCUGUAUACCAGAUCUAUUGUAUACCCUGCACUGAUUUGGCAAGGGAGUACAAUAGUGAUCUAGGAGUAGAUCACUGGACAGCGGUCAGAAUUAUCCUUAGUGAAAUAAGGAUAUGUUUCUCGAUUAUAGACGUGAUAAAAAGGUUCAUCGUAAAGGGUUACGCCGAUGCAAGUUUUGACACUAAUCUAGAUGACUCUAAGACUCGGUCUAGAUACAUAUUGAAAGUGGGAGCAAUUAGCUAGAGUAGCUCCAUGCAGAGCAUUGUUGACAUAGAAAUUUGCAAAAUACAUGUGGAUCUGAAUGUGGCAGACCCGUUGACUAAGAUUCUCUCACAAGCAAAACAUGAUCACACCUUAGUACUCUUUGGGUGUUAAUCACAUAGCGAUGUGAACUAGAUUACUGAAUCUAGUUAACCCUUUGGGUGUUGGUCACAUGGCGAUGUGAACUAUGGGUGUUAAUCACAUGAUGAUGUAAACUAUCGAUGUUAAUCACAUGGUGAUGUGAUCCAGAUUAUUGACUCUAGUGCAAGUGGGAGACUGAAGGAAAUAUGCCCUAGAGGCAAUAAUAAAGUUAUUAUUUAUUUCCUUAUAUCAUGAUAAAUGUUUAUUAUUCAUGCUAGAAUUGUAUUAACCGGAAACAUAAUACAUGUGUGAAUACAUAGACAAACAGAGUGUCACUAGUAUGCCUCUACUUGACUAGCUCGUUAAUCAAAGAUGGUUAUGUUUCCUAACCAUGGACAAAGAGUUGUUAUUUGAUUAAUGGGAUCACAUCAUUACUUGAAUGAUCUGAUUGACAUGACCCGUUCCAUUAGCUUAGCACCCGAUCAUUUAGUAUGUUGCUAUUGCUUUCUUCAUAACUUAUACAUGUUCCUAUGACUAUGAGAUUAUGCAACUCUCGUUUGCCGGAGGAACACUUUGGGUACUACCAAACGUCACAACGUAAUUGGGUGAUUAUAAAGGAGUACUACAGGUGUCUCCAAAGGUAGAUGUUGGGUUGGCGUAUUUCGGGAUUAGGAUUUGUCACUCCGAUUGUCGGAGAGGUAUCUCUGGGCCCUCUCGGUAAUGCACAUCACUUAAGCCUUGCAAGCAUUGCAACUAAUGAGUUAGUUGCGGGAUGAUGUAUUACGGAACGAGUAAAGAGACUUGCCGGUAACGAGAUUGAACUAGGUAUUGGAUACCGACGAUCGAAUCUCGGGCAAGUAACAUACCGAUGACAAAGGGAACAACGUAUGUUGUUAUCCGGUCUGACCGAUAAAGAUCUUCGUAGAAUAUGUAGGAGCCAAUAUGGGCAUCCAGGUCCCGCUAUUGGUUAUUGACCGGAGACGUGUCUCGGUCAUGUCUACAUUGUUCUCGAACCGUAGGGUCCGCACGCUUAAGGUUUCGAUGACAGUUAUAUUAUGAGUUUAUAAGUUUUGAUGUACCGAAGGAGUUUGGAGUCCCGGAUGAGAUCGGGAACAUGAUGAGGAGUCUCGAAAUGGUCGAGACGUAAAGAUCGAUAUAUUGGACGACUAUAUUCGGACAUCGGAAAGGUUCUGAGUGAUUCGGGUAUUUUUCGGAGUACCGGGUAGUGGAGAAGUAAUGGGCCUUGAUGGGCUUUAGUGGGAAGAGGAAAAAGGCUGCUGCGCCCCCUCCCCUUUGGUCCGAAUUGGACUAGGGAAAAGGGGGCCGGGCACCUUUCCUACUCCUCCACUUCCUUCUCCCUUCCUCCCCAAGUCCUAGUAGGACUCCCAUCCUGGCCGCACCAAUGGCCUUGGCCGGCCUCCUCCUCCUCCAUCCUUUAUAUACUGAGGCAAGGGGCACCCCAUGGACACACAAGUUGAUCAUUGAGAUCGUUCCUUAGCCGUGUGCGGUGCCCCCUGCCACCAUAUUCCACCUCGAUCAUAUCGUUGUAGUGCUUAGGCGAAGCCCUGCGUCGGUAGAACAUCAAGAUCGUCACCACGCCGUCGUGCUGACGGAACUCCUCCCCAAGGCUUUGCUGGAUCGAAGCCCGGGGAUCGUCAUCGAGCUGUACAUGUGCUAAGAACUCGGAGGUGCCGGAGUAACGGUGCUUGGAUCGGUUGGAUCGGGAAGAAGACGUACGACUACUUCCUCUACGUUGUGUCAACGCUUCCGUUGCGAUCUACAAGGGUACGUAGAUCAGACUCUCCCCCUCGUUGCUAUGCAUCACCAUGAUCUUGCGUGUGCGUAGGAAAUUUUUUGAAAUUACUACGUUCUCCAACAGUGGCAUCCGAGCCUAGGUUUUAUGGUUUGAUGUUAUUUGCACGAGUAGAACACAAGUGAGUUGUGGGCGAUACAAGUCAUACUGCCUACCAGCAUGUCAUACUUUGGUUCGGCGGUAUUGUUGGACGAGACGACCCGGACCAACAUUACGCGUACGCUUACGCGAGACCGGUUCCCUCGACGUGCUUUGCACAUAGAUGGCUUGCGGGCGACUGUCUCUCCAACUUUAGUUGAACCAAGUGUGGCUACGCCCGGUCCUUGAGAAGGUUAAAACGGAGUCUAUUUGACAAACUAUCGUUGUGGUUUUGAUGCGUAGGUGAGAUGAGUUCUUGCUUAAGCCCGUAGCAGCCACAUAAAACUUGCAACAACAAAGUAGAGGACGUCUAACUUGUUUUUGUAGGGCAUGUUGUGAUGUGAUAUGGUCAAGGCAUGAUGCUAAAUUUUAUUGUAUGAGAUGAUCAUGUUUUGUAACCAAGUUAUCGGCAACUGGCAGGAGCCAUAUGGUUGCCGCUUUAUUGUAUGCAAUGCAAUCGCGAUGUAAUGCUUUACUUUAUUACUAAGCGGUAGUGAUAGUCGUGGAAGCAUAAGAUUGGCGAGAUGACAACGAUGCUCCGAUGGAGAUCAAGGUGUCGCGCCGGUGACGAUGGUGAUCAUGACGGUGCUUCGGAGAUGGAGAUCACAAGCACAAGAUGAUGAUGGCCAUAUCAUAUCACUUAUAUUGAUUGCAUGUGAUGUUUAUCCUUUUAUGCAUCUUAUGUUGCUUUGAUUGACGGUAGCAUUAUAAGAUGAUCUCUCACUAAAUUAUCAAGAAGUGUUCUCCCUGAGUAUGCACCAUUGCCAAAGUUCGUCGUGCCCAGACACCACGUGAUGAUCGGGUGUGAUAAGCUCUACGUCCAUCUACAACGGGUGCAAGCCAGUUUUGCACACGCAGAAUACUCAGGUUAAACUUGACGAGCCUAGCAUAUGUAGAUAUGGCCUCGGAACAUAGAGACCGAAAGGUCGAGCGUGAAUCAUAUAGUAGAUAUGAUCAACAUAACGAUGUUCACCAUUGAAAACUACUCCAUCUCACGUGAUGAUCGGUUAUGAUUUAGUUGAUUUGGAUCACGUAAUCACUUAGAGGAUUAGAGGGAUGUCUAUCUAAGUGGGAGUUCUUAAGUAAUUUGAUUAACUGAACUUAAACUUAUCAUGAACUUAGUCCUGGUAGUAUUAGCACAUCUAUGUUGUAGAUCAAUAGCUCGCGUUGUUGCUUUCAUAUGUUUAUUUUGAUAUGUUCCUAGAGAAAAUUGUGUUGAAAGAUGUUAGUAGCAAUGAUGUGGAUUGGAUCCGUGAUCUGAGGUUUAUCCUCAUUGCUGCACAGAAGAAUUAUGUCCUUGAUGCACCGCUAGCUGACAGACCUAUUGCAGGAGCAGAUGCAGACAUUAUGAAUGUUUGGCUAGCUCAAUAUGAUGACUACUUGAUAGUUAAGUGCACCAUGCUUAAUGGCUUAGAAUCGGGACUUCAAAGACGUUUUGAACGUCAUGGACCAUAUGAGAUGUUCCAGGAGUUGAAGUUAAUAUUUCAAGCAAAUACCCGAGUUGAGAGAUAUGAAGUCUCCAACAAGUUCUAUCGCUAAAAGAUGGAGGAGAAUCGCUCAACUAGUGAGCAUGUGCUCAGAUUGUUUGGGUACUACAAUCGCUUGAAUCAAGUGGGAGUUAAUCUUCCAGAUAAGAUAGUGAUUGACAGAAUUCUCUAGUCACCAUGACCAAGUUAGUAGAACUUCGUGAUGAACUAUAGUAUGCAAGGGAUGACGAAAACGACUCCCGAGCUUUUCAUGAUGAUGAAAUCGAUGAAGGUAGAAAUCAAGAAAAACAUCAAGUGUUGAUGGUAGACAAGACCACUAGUUUCAAGAAAAGGGCAGAGGGAAGAAGGGGAACUUCAAAAAGAACAGCAAGCAAGUUGCUGCUCAAGUAAAGAAGCCCAAGUCUGGACCUAAGCCUGAGACUGAGUGCUUCUACUGCAAAGGGACUGGUCACUGGAAGCGGAACUACCCCAAGUGAUUGGCGGAUAAGAAGGAUGGCAAAGUGAACAUAAGUAUAUUUGAUAUACAUGUUAUUGAUGUGUACUUUACUAGUGUUUAUAGCAAACCCUCAGUAUUUGAUACUAGUUCAGUUGCUAAGAUUAGUAACUCGAAACGGGAGUUGCAGAAUAAACAGAGACUAGUUAAGGGUGAAGUGACGAUGUGUGUUGGAAGUGGUUCCAAGAUUGAUAUGAUCAUCAUCGCACACUCCCUAUAAUUUCGGGAUUAGUGUUGAACCUAAAUAAGUGUUAUUUGGUGUUUGCGUUGAGCAUGAAUAUGAUUUGAUCAUGUUUAUUGUAAUACGGUUAUUCAUUUAAGUAAGAGAAUAAAUUGUUGUUCUGUUUACAUGAAUAAAACCUUAUAUGGUUACACACCCAAUGAAAAUAGUUCGUUGGAUCUCGAUCGUAGUGAUACACAUAAUCAUAAUAUUGAAACCAAAAGAUGCAAAGUUAAUAAUGAUAGUGCAACUUAUUUGUAGCACUGCCGUUUAGGUCAUAUUGGUGUAAAGCGCAUGAAGAAACUCCAUGCUGAUGGGCUUUUGGAAUCAUUUGAUUAUGAAUCAGUUGAUGCUUGCGAACCAUGCCUCAUGGGCAAGAUGACUAAGACUCUGUUCUUCGGAACAAUGGAGCGAGCAACAGAUUUGUUGGAAAUCAUACAUACUGAUGUAUGUUGUCCGAUGAAUAUUGAGGCUCGCGACAGGUAUCAUUAUUUUCUGAUCUUCACAGAUGAUUUGAGCAGAUAUGAGUAUAUCUACUUGAUGAAACAUAAGUCUGAAACAUUUGAAAAGUUCAAAGAAUUUCAGAGUGAAGUGAAAAAUCAUCGUAACAAGAAAAUAAAGUUUCUAUGAUCUGAUCGUAGAGAAGAGUAUUUGAGUUACGAGUUUGGCCUUCAGUUAAAAACAAUGUGAAAUAGUUUCAUUACUCACGCCACAUGGAACACCAUAGUGUAAUGGUGUGUCCGAACGUCAUAACCGUACUUUAUUAGAUAUAGUGCGAUCUAUGAUGUCUCUUACCGAUCUACCACUAUCGUUUUGGGGUUAUGCAUUAGAGACAGCUGCAUUCACGUUAAAAAGGGGCACCAUCUAAGUCCGUUGAGACGACACAAUCUGAACUGUGUUUUAGCAAGAAACCAAAGUAGUCAUUUCUUAAAGUUUGGGGUUGUGAUGCUUAUGUGAAAAAGUUUCAUCCUGAUAAGCUCAAAACCAAAUCAGAGAAAUAUGUCUUCAUAGGAUACCCAAAAGGAGACUGUUGGGUACACCUUCUAUCACAGAUCCUAAGGCAAGACAUUCGUUGCUUAUAAUGGAUACUUUCUAGAGAAGGAGUUUCUCUCGAAAGAAGUGAGUGGGAGGAAAGUAGAACUUGAUAAGGUAAUUGUACCUUCUCCUUUAUUGGAAAGUAGUUCAUCACAGAAAUCUGUUCUUGUGACUCCUACACCUUAAGCUUGCGGACCCUACAGUUCGAGAACAAUGUAGACAUGACCGAGACACGUCUCCGGUCAAUAACCAAUAGCGGGACCUGGAUGCCCAUAUUGGCUCCUACAUAUUCUACGAAGAUCUUUAUCGGUAAGACCGCAUAACAACAUACGUUGUUCCCUUUGUCAUCGGUAUGUUACUUGCCCGAGAUUCGAUCGUCGGUAUCCAAUACCUAGUUCAAUCUUGUUACCGGCAAGUCUCUUUACUCGUUCCGUAAUACAUCAUCCCGCAACUAACUCAUUAGUUGCAAUGCUUGCAAGGCUUAAGUGAUGUGUAUUACCGAGAGGGCCCAGAGAUACCUCUCCGACAUUCGGAGUGACAAAUCCUAAUCUCGAAAUACGCCAACCCAACAUGUACCUUUGGAGACACCUGUAGAGCUCCUUUAUAAUCACCCAGUUACGUUGUGACGUUUGGUAGCACACAAAGUGUUCCUCCGGCAAACGGGAGUUGCAUAAUCUCAUAGUCAUAGGAACAUGUAUAAGUCAUGAAGAAAGCAAUAGCAACAUACUAAACGAUCGGGUGCUAAGCUAAUGGAAUGGGUCAUGUCAAUCAGAUCAUUCAACUAAUGAUGCGAUCCCGUUAAUCAAAUAACAACUCUUUGUUCAUGGUUAGGAAACAUAACCAUCUUUGAUUAACGAGCUAGUCAAGUAGAGGCAUACUAGUGACACUCUGUUUGUCUAUGUAUUAACACAUGUAUUAUGUUUCCGGUUAAUACAAUUUUAGCAUGAAUAAUAAACAUUUAUCAUGAUAUAAGGAAAUAAAUGAUAACUUUAUUAUUGCCUCUAGGGCAUAUUUCCUUCAUAUUCUUAAUGAAUCUCGAGCGUAAUGCUACACAUAUUCAUAGUGUGAGUACCAAAAGAUGUAAGGUUGAUAAUGAUAGUCCCACAUACUUGUGGCACUGCCGCCUUGGUCACAUAGGUGUCAAACGCAUGAAGAAACUCCAUGCAGAUGAACUUUUAGAGUCUCUUGAUUACGAAUCAUUUGACACGUGCGAACCAUGCCUCAUGGGUAAAAUGACCAAGACUCCGUUCUCAGGAACAAUGGAACGAGCAACCAACUUAUUGGAAAUCAUACAUACUGAUGUGUGCGGUUCAAUGAGUGUUGAGGCUCGCGGUGGCUAUCGUUAUGUUCUCACCCUCACUGAUGACUUGAGUAGAGAUGGGUAUAUCUAUUUGAUGAAACACAAGUCCGAGACCUUUGAAAAGUUCAAGGAAUUUCAGAGUGAGGUUGAAAAUCAACGUGACAGGAAAAUCAAGUUCCUACGAUCAGAUCGUGGAGGAGAAUACUUGAGUCACGAAUUUGGCACACACUUAAGAAAAUGUGGAAUAGUUUCACAACUCACGCCGCCUGGAACACCUCAGCGUAAUGGUGUGUCCGAACGUCGUAAUUGCACUCUAUUAGAUAUGGUGCGAUCUAUGAUGUCUCUUACCGAUUUACCGCUAUCUUUUUGGGGCUAUGCUUUAGGGACUGCCGCAUUCACUUUAAAUAGGGCUCCGUCGAAAUCCGUUGAGACGACACCGUAUGAAUUAUGGUUUGGGAAGAAACCUAAGCUGUCGUUUCUAAAAGUUUGGGGAUGCGAUGCUUAUGUCAAGAAACUUCAACCUGAAAAGCUCGAACCCAAGUCGGAAAAAUGCGUCUUCAUAGGAUACCCUAAAGAAAGUAUUGGGUAUACCUUCUACCUCAGAUCCGAAGGCAAGAUCUUUGUUGCCAAGAAUGGAUCCUUUCUAGAGAAGGAGUUUCUCUCAAAGGAAGUAAGUGGGAGGAAAGUAGAACUUGAUGAAGUAUUACCUCUUGAACCGGAAAAAAGCGCAACUCAGGAAAAUGUUCCUGAGGUGCCUGCACCGACUAGAGAGGAAGUUAAUGAUGAUGAUCAAGAUACUUCUGAUCAAGCUCCUACUGAAAUUCGUAGGUCCACAAGGACACGUUCCGCACCAGAGUGGUACGGCAACCCUGUCUUGGAAAUCAUGUUGUUAGACAAUGGUGAACCUUCGAACUAUGAAGAGGCGAUGGCGGGCCCGGAUUCCGACAAAUGGCUGGAAGCCAUGAAAUCCGAGAUAGGAUCCAUGUAUGAAAAUGAAGUAUGGACUUUGACUGACUUGCCCGUUGAGCGGCGAGCCAUAGAAAAUAAAUGGAUCUUUAAGAAGAAGACAGACGCGGAUGGUAAUGUGACCAUCUAUAAAGCUCGGCUUGUCGCUAAGGGUUAUCGACAAGUUCAAGGGGUUGACUACGAUGAGACUUUCUCACCGGUAGCGAAGCUAAAGUCCGUCCGAAUCAUGCUAGCAAUUGCCGCAUUCUAUGAUUAUGAAAUAUGCCAAAUGGACGUCAAAACGGCAAUCCUUAAUGGUUUCCUUAAGGAAGAAUUGUAUAUGAUGCAACCGGAAGGUUUUGUCGAUCCUAAGAAUGCUGACAAGGUGUGCAAGCUCCAACGCUCGAUUUAUGGGCUGGUGCAAGCAUCUCGGAGUUGGAACAUUCGCUUUGAUGAGAUGAUCAAAGCGUUUGGGUUUACACAGUCUGCGUUUACAAGAAAGUGAGUGGGAGCUCUGUAGCAUUUCUCAUAUUAUAUGUAGAUGACAUACUUUUGAUGGGAAAUGAUAUAGAACUCUUGGACAGCAUUAAGGCCUACUUGAAUAAGAGUUUUUCAAUGAAGGACCUUGGAGAAGUUGCUUAUAUAUUAGGCAUCAAGAUCUAUAGAGAUAGAUCAAGACGCCUCAUAGGUCUUUCACAAAGCACAUACCUUGAUAAGAUAUUGAAGAAGUUCAAUAUGGAUCAGUCUAAGAAGGGGUUCUUUCCUGUGCUGCAAGGUGUGAAAUUGAGCUCAGCUCAAUGUCCGACCACGGCAGAAGAUAUAGAAGAGAUGAGUGUCAUCCCCUAUGCCUCAGCCAUAGGUUCUAUUAUGUAUGCCAUGUUGUGUACCAGACCUGAUGUAAACCUUGCCGUAAGUUUGGUAGGAAGGUACCAAAGUAAUCCCGGCAAGGAACACUGGACAGCGGUCAAGAAUAUCCCGAAGUACCUGAAAAGGACUAAGGAAGUGUUUCUCAUUUAUGGAGGUGACGAAGAGCUCGUCGUAAAGGGUUACGUCGAUUCUAGCUUCGACACAAAUCUGGAUGACUCUAAGUCACAAACCGGAUAUGUGUAUAUUUUGAAUGGUGGGGCAGUAAGCUGGUGCAGUUGCAAGCAGAGCGUCGUGGCGGGAUCUACAUGUGAAGCGGAGUACAUGGCAGCCUCGGAGGCAGCACAUGAAGCAAUUUGGGUGAAGGAGUUCAUCACCGACCUAGGAGUCAUACCCCAUGCGUCGGGGCCAAUCAAGCUCUUCUGUGACAGCACUGGAGCUAUUGCACUUGCCAAGGAGCCCAGGUUUCACAAGAAGACAAGGCACAUCAAGCGUCGCUUCAACUCCAUUCGUGAAAAUAUUCAAGAUGGAGACAUAGAUAUUUGUAAAGUACAUACAGAUCUGAAUGUAGCAGAUCCGUUGACUAAACCUCUCCCUAGAGCAAAACAUGAUCAACACCAGAAUUCCAUGGGUGUUCGAUUCAUCACAAUGUAACUAGAUUAUUGACUCUAGUGCAAGUGGGAGACUGUUGGAAAUAUGCCCUAGAGGCAAUAAUAAAAGGAUUAUUAUUGUAUUUCCUUGUUCAUGAUAAUUGUCUUUUAUUCAUGCUAUAAUUGUGUUAUCCGGAAAUCGUAAUACAUGUCUGAAUAAUAGACACCAACAUGUCCCUAGUAAGCCUCUAGUUGACUAGCUCGUUGAUCAACAGAUAGUCAUGGUUUCCUGACUAUGGACAUUGGAUGUCAUUGAUAACGAGAUCACAUCAUUAGGAGAAUGAUGUGAUGGACAAGACCCAAUCCUAAACAUAGCACAAGAUCGUGUAGUUCGUUUGCUAGAGUUUUCCAAUGUCAAGUAUCCUUUCCUUAGACCAUGAGAUCGUGUAACUCCCGGAUACCGUAGGAGUGCUUUGGGUGUACCAAACGUCACAACGUAACUGGGUGACCAUAAAGGUAUACUACGGGUAUCUCCGAAAGUGUCUGUUGGGUUGACACGGAUCAAGACUGGGAUUUGUCACUCCGUAUGAUGGAGAGGUAUCACUGGGCCCACUCGGUAAUGCAUCAUCAUUAUGAGCUCAAAGUGACCAAGUGUCUGGUCACGGGAUCAUGCAUUACGGUAUGAGUAAAGUGACUUGCCGGUAACGAGAUUGAACGAGGUAUUGGGAUACCGACGAUCAAAUCUCGGGCAAGUAACAUACCGAUUGACGAAGGGAAUUGUAUACGGGGUUGCUUGAAUCCUCGACAUCGUGGUUCAUCCGAUGAGAUCAUCGAGGAGCAUGUGGGAGCCAACAUGGGUAUCCAGAUCCCGCUAUUGGUUAUUGACCGGAGAGCGAUCUCGGUCAUGUCUACAUGUCUCCCGAACCCGUAGGGUCUACACACUUAAGGUUCGGUGACGCUAGGGUUGUAAAGAUAUGAAUAUGCAGUAAUCCAAAAGUUGUUCAGAGUCCCGGAUGAGAUCCCGGACAUCACGAGGAGUUACGGAAUGGUCCGGAGGUAAAGAAUUAUAUAUAGGAAGUGCUGUUUCGGCCAACGGGAAAGUUUCGGGGUCACCGGUAUUGUACCAGGACCACCGGAUGGGUCCCGAGGGUCCACCGGGUGGGGCCACCCAUCCCGGAGGGCCCCAUGGGCUGAAGUGGGAGGGGAACCAGCCCAUAGUGGGCUGGUGCGCCCCCCUUGGCCCACCCCCUUGCGCCUAGGGUUGAAACCCUAGGGUGGGGGGCGCCCACUUGCCUUGGGGGGCACUCCGCCCCCCUUGGCCGCCGCCCCCCUUGGGUGAUCCAAUCUCCAUGGGGCCGGCGCCCCCCAGGGGCCUAUAUAAAGGGGGGAGGGAGGGGGCAGCCGCACCCUUGCAUCUUGGCGCCUCCCUCUCCCCUGCUACACCUCUCCUUCUCGCGCAGACGCUCGGCGAAGCCCUGCUGCGGUGACAACUGCAUCCACCACCACACCGUCGUGCUGCUGGAUCUUCAUCAACCUCUCCUUCCCCCUUGCUGGAUCAAGAAGGAGACGUCAUCCGCUCCGUACAUGUGUUGAAGCGGAGGUGCCAUCCAUUCGGCGCUUGGUCAUCGGUGAUUUGGAUCACGACGAGUACGACUCCAUCAUCCACGUUCUAGUGAACGCUUCCGCUCGUGAUCUACAAAGGUAUGUAGAUGCAAUCUGAAUACUCGUUGCUAGAUGAACUCAUAGAUGGAUCUUGGUGAAACCAUAGGAAAUUUUUUGUUUUCUGCAACGUUCCCCAACAAGGGAAGCAUUUCAAAGGCGAGGCAGAUCACCGGAAGAAGCCCGCCAUGCGCACCGGUGAUCACGUGCUUGCUAUGGUCAAUGAUUUACACUACGUAAUCUUUGGAAAGGGUCCCGAUGGACUAGCUGUUCCGAAUGACGCUGAGGGACACGCACCCAUGUGGAAGAAGAAAUCUAUAUCUUGGGACCUACCCUACUGGAAAGACCUAGAGGUCCGCUCCUCAAUCAACGUGAUGCACGUGACGAAGAACCUUUGCAUGAACCUGCUAGGCUUCUUGGGCGUGUAUGGGAAGACAAAAGAUACACCUGAGGCACGGGAGGACCUGCAACGUUUGCACGAAAAAGACGGCAUGCCUCCGAAGCAGUAUAAAGGUCCUACCAGCUACGCUCUUACGAAAGAAGAGAAAGAAAUCUUCUUUGAAUGCCUGCUCAGUAUGAAGGUCACGACUGGCUUCUCGUCGAAUAUAAAGGGAAUAAUAAAUAUGCCGGAGACAAAGUUUCAGAACCUAAAGUCUCAUGACUGCCACGUGAUUAUGACGCAACUGCUUCCGGUUGCAUUGAGGGGGCUUCUACCGGAAAACGUCUGAUUAGCCAUUGUGAAGCUAUGUGCAUUCCUCAAUGCAAUCUCUCAGAAGGUGAUCGAUCCAGAAAUCGUAUCAAGGCUAAGGAGUGAUGUGGCGCAAUGUCUUGUCAGUUUCGAGCUGGUGUUCCCACCAUCCUUCUUCAAUAUCAUGACGCACAUCCUAGUUCAUCUAGUCGACGAGAUUGUCAUCCUGGGGCCCGUAUUUCUACACAAUAUGUUCCCCUUUGAGAGGUUCAUGGGAGUCCUAAAGAAAUAUGUCCGUAACCGCGCUAGGCCAGAAGGAAGCAUCUCCAUGGGCCAUCAAACAGAGGAUGUUAUCGGGUUUUGUGUUGACUUCAUUCCUGGCCUUAACAAGAUAGGUCUCCCUAAAUCGCGGUAUGAGGGGAGACUGACUGGAAAAGGCACUCUUGGAAGAGACUCAAUAAUAUGCAGGGGCGGAUAUUCUUGGUCUCAAGCACACUACACAGUUCUACAGAACUCUACCUUGGUGACCCCGUAUGUCGAUGAACACAAGAACAGUCUGCGCUCCAAACACCCGGAGCAGUGCGACGACUGGAUUACAUGUGAACACAUCAGGACUUUCAGCAGUUGGUUGGAAACACGUCUCAGAGGUGACAACACUGUUUGUGAUGAGUUGUACUUGUUGUCCAGGGGACCAUCUUUGACUGUAUUGACUUACAAAGGAUACGAGAUAAAUGGGAAUACAUUUUGCAUGAUUGCCCAAGAUCAAAAGAGCACCAACCAAAAAAGCGGUGUCCACUUUUAUGCAGCAACCGAGAGCGAAAAGGAUACAUAUUAUGGUUACAUAGUGGACAUAUGGGAACUUGACUAUGGACCUGAUUUUAAGGUCCCUUUGUUUAAGUGCAAAUGGGUCAAUCUGUUAGGCGGCGGGGUACAGGUAGAACUAGAAAUAAAUAAUGCAAAAAACAAAAUAAAAAACUGGAAAAAAAUAAAAAAAAUUGCCACCUAUUGGGCCACCACGGCCUGAAUACGACUAGAAACCCAACAUGGGCCAGGAUUCAGGCCCGUAGAAGGCCCAAUAGGCCCACAGGCAAAGCAGUGUCAGAUUAGGCCCAUAGGCCUGCAGUUCAGAGGAGUUCGAGAUGGAGGAGGCAGCAGAGCUUAUAAACCACUCCCGAGCCCUCUCAACUAGCGAGGUAGGACUAAACUUUUGGGCGCGGGGCAGCACAAGGCCAUUGGUCUCGGUUGGUGGCACCAACCAGGACUAAAGGGUGCAUUGGUCACGGUUCGUGGCACCAACCGUGACCAAUUCCCCCUUUAGUCCCGGUUGGUGCCACCAGCAGCCCAAAGGGCGGGAAGCGGCGGCCUUUGGUCCCGGUUGGUGGCACCAACCGGGACUAAAGGGGGCAUUAGUCCUAGUUGGUGCUACCAACCGGGACCAAAGGCCUGGCUAUAUAUACAACAGUUGUCAAAAUUUUCAUUCAGUUCCUCAACUCCCCGCCGCCGACGCCACCCUCUGCCCCGACGCCCUGCUCCUCGUCNNNNNNNNNNNNNNNNNNNNNNNNNNNNNNNNNNNNNNNNNNNNNNNNNNNNNNNNNNNNCGUCGCUGCCCCGCGCCGCCCCGCCGCCGUCGCCGCCGCCCUCGACGCCAUCUGCCCCGACGCCGGCGUCGCUCCCCUCUGUGAGCACCUGCCGCCAUGCCCCUCUGCCCUGCUGGCGCCACCAUGUUUUUUUUUCAUAUGUUGCAAUAUGUUUUUUUGAUUUUUAUUAGUUUAUUUUUUUGUUCAUAUGUGAUGUAUAUGUGUAUGUGGCUAUAAUGUAUAUGUGUAUAGAUGAUAGAUGAUCAAAUGAUGAUUUUUUUGUUCAUAGAUGAUAGAUGAUCAAAUGAUGUUUUUUUUGUUCAUAGAUGAUCAUAUGAUUUUUUAGGUUAUUUUCAUUUGUAGAAAUUUUUGUUCAUAUAUGGAUAUUUAGGGGGUCGAGGGUCGAGAACUAGUUUGGGGGGUCGAGGGUCGAGAACUAGUUUAGGGGUCGAGGGUCAAGAACGUGGGACAUUCAUGAGAGAGGCGGGGAAGAAGGGGAAGAAGAGGGAGAAGAAGAGGAAGAAGAAUAAAAAGAGGAGAAGAAAGAAUAGAGGAGAAGAAGUUCUUCUCCUCUAUUCUUUCUUCUCUUCUUUUUUCUUCUUCUUCUUCCUCUUCUUUUUUUAUCGGGAACGACGGCCGUCGAGGGGUCGAGGGGGGGGACGGCGAACAUUCAUGAGAGAGGCGGGGAAGAGGGAGAAGAAGAGGAGAGGAAGAAGAGGAAAAAAAGAAGAGGAAGAAGAAGAAUAAAAAGAGGAGAAGAAAGAAUAGAAGAAGAAGAAUAAAAAGAGGAGAAUAAAGAAUAGAUGAGAAGAACUUCUUCUCCUCUUUUUAUUCUUAUUCUUCCUCUUCUUUUUUUUAUCGGGAACGAGGGCAUGUCGAGAGUGUCAUCGAGCGGUCGAGGGUCGGGAAACUAGGGCUUACCCGAAGAAGGAGAAGAAGAGAAGAGGAAGAAGAGGAGAAAAAAAAGGAAAAAAAGAGGAAGAAGAAGAAAAAAAAGAGGAGAAGAAGAAGGAAUAGAGGAGAAGACUUUGUCAGUUCUUCUUCUCCUCUAGCUAUUCCUUUCUUCUUCUCCUCUUUCUUCUUCUUCUUCUUCUUCUUCUUCUUCUUCUUCUUCUUCUUCUUCUUCUUCUUCUUCUUCUUAAUUUUUAUCGGGGGUUUGAGGGGUCGAGAGAGGUUUCCUAGUGUCAAAGUAUUGAACAAAUCCAUGCCUUCAUCAUUAGCCGGAAGUAACCAGGGCAUGUUGGUACGAAGUUCUGCAAAGUUGUUCUGGAAUGGAGUCCCGGAUAGAAUAAUCCGCCUUUUGGUACGAAUUCAGCAAAGGCCUUCCAAAUAGCGAUAUUCGGAAGGCUCUUGCUGAACUUUGUACCAAAAAGCGAAUUAUCCUAUCUGGGACUCCGUUCCAGAACAACUUUGAAGAGCUUCGUACCAUCAUGCACAUGUUACUUUCGCCUAAUGAUGAAGACAUGGUUUUGUUGAAUCCUUUGACACUAGGCAACCUCCCGACCCCUCGGCGAUCCUCUCGAACAUGAGAGGAAGAAGAGGAUAAAAAAAGAAGAGGAAGAAGAAGAAAAAAAGAGGAGAAGAAAGAAUAGAGGAGAUCUUCUCCUCUAUUCUUUCUUCUCCUCUUUUUUUUCUUCUUCUUCCUCUUUUUUUUUAUUGGGAACGAGGGUCGUCGAGGGACAUAGAUGUAGUGUCGUCGUUGUCGAUAUAUACCCCCUCCCGAUAGCUUACUAUGAUUAGGUAGCUACUUCUACGUUUGGCACUAAUAUAUCCAUCUGUCAUGUUUGAAUAAUAAUUGCCAUGUUGUCAAUAUUUGUAGAAACUAUGGACACCGCCCUAGACGAAGCAAAAGAAGCGUUGUUGAGGGACAUAAUCGCAGAAGGAAGUGAUGCCAUCUCGUUGUUUCUCAACGAAACCGAUGGUCUGGAAGGAGAGGGUGAACAAGCUGGCUACGGUGACCUAAUGCCGGUGCAAGAAGAACAUGAGGACGGCUCUGGUGACCCAAUGCCGGUGCAAGAAGGAGACCGUGAUGACGGCUCCGGUGACCGAACCGAGUUCGGCCAGGUAUACAUAUUAGUUAAGUCUGUGCUGACUAGCUGAUUGAUGCAUUCAUUGUUUUGGUAUGUACAAAUAUUAAUUAAGUCUUUGUUCUUUUUUCUAGCCCUCCAGAUCGAGCACAACUUCGGUAAAGAGACGAGGCCCGAAGAAAAAGUUGAGCUUGGAUGAAAAGUUUGAGAUCAUAGCAAUCGCGCCCGACGGCCAACCGAUUGAACCCCUCAGGACAAAGAGCGCAUUUGUUGCUCAGUGCGGGGUUCUGGUUAGGGACAAGAUCCCGAUAAGCAUCCAACAAUGGUUUAAGCCAGCUACAGAAGACCCUGAGGUGUCUUAUGUCAAUGAUAUGCAGAAAAAUGAUCUUUGGACUAAGCUGAAGUCAAAUUUCACCCUACCGCCAGAGGAUAAUCCAGAGAACCCAGUUAAAGAGAAAUUAAUCAAGUCUUUUUCUCUUAAGAGGAUGGUAGAACUAUUCAGGAGGUGGAAGAAAGAGCUGAAUAAGUUUGUCGAAAAUAAUGAGACACCAGAAUUCAAGGGCAGAUAUGAGAAGAUCAGAGAUCACUGGCCCGCAUUUGUGGCCCACAAGACAUCGGAAAAGAGUAAGAAGAUGUCGGCGACAAACAAGUCUCUCUAUAUAGCUCAUCUCUUUCAUUGCAUGUAUUUAUAAUUAUCCUCACUAUAUUAUGCAGAAUGAAGAUCGCCGAAUUGAAGAAAAGACAAAUCGGUGAUAUUGGGUUCGUUAACACAUAUCUCAUAGAUGCAACUGAGGUUGAACAUCGUCCCGGAGAUACCGAGGCCAACUUGCUACGAUCAUUCAAAAAAAAUGAAAACAAAGAUAUAAUACUCUUUCCUUACAACUUCAAGUGAGUGUUACUGUCUUGUGCAUAUUCGGUUUCCCUUAUAUAUUAGUCCAGGUUAUAGUAAUGUAAUUAAUGAGUUAUGCAUGCGUGUGCAGUUUCCACUAUAUUCUCCUAGAGAUUAGGCUUGAGCAGGGAGUAGUAACCGUCUUGGACUCUAAACGAAAAUAUCCCCAGGAGUAUGCGGACAUGACUAAAAUCCUCAAGAAGUAAGUUAAAUCGAUCAUUAUCCACCAUAUCAGCAACUUUGUUCAUUUCCUGAUAUCAAGUAAUUGUUUUCUUUGUCCGGCAGGGUUUGGAGAAAAUUCACCAGAAAAGUUCCGGGACUGCCGAAGGAGCUGGAAUUUAGACACCCGAAAGUAAGUACUAUAGUAGCAUGUUCCGCGCAUCUCCUAGUGAUUCAAGUGCUAGUUUCAUCAAUACCAUUUAGCAUUCUUGCUUAUCAGUUUGAUUGACCUCUAUUUCUUGUAAAGUGGUUGUGGUAGGAACAAGGGAAUGAUUUCUGUGGAUACUACGUCUGCGAGUCCAUCCGCCACACGACCUGUGAGCGGGGCGGGUACUCUGACGAACAAUAUGAAGUACGUAAAUAACAACAUUCACAAUUUUAUUUUAUUACCAUCAUUUGUAUUGAGUUUCAUUCAUUCAUAUAUAUAUGUAUCGACCCCCUUCUUCAAAUUAGAUGUUUCGGAAGCGGGAUGAACUCCUAGCACCAGGUCGCAUGUGAGCAAUUCAAGAGGAAUUGGUGGCAUUCUUUCUUGACCAAGUGAUCGCUGAAGACGGAGAAUACUAUGUGGACCAUGAGUCCGUAUGAUUAUAUUUGUAAGAGAUAAUUAUUGUAUAUAUGUAGCCGGUAGUAUCGGAUAGAUAUACGAGAACUUGUUGUUCGACCAAUCUCUCGGAGAAGGAGAGGUGGUCGAUAUCACUUCUCUCUGUAUGCAUAUAUGUUCAUGACGAUCUUCUGUUUCCUUCGUUUGCUUACUAGCUAACUAGCAUGUCUAGUCCUCUCUAUACGUAUGUAUAGUACGUAGCGUCGACCAAGCAUGAACGUAAGAGAGGACACUUCUCUCUAUUAAUUAUAGCUAGCUAACACAAUAUAUGAAACACCUAAAUUAACCCCCCAAAACCCCCAACCCCCCCCCUUUCAAAAAAAAACAAAAACCCCAGCCACAGAAAUGCUGACGCGUAGAUGCCUAUUGGUCCCGGUUGGUGCCACCAACCGGGACCAAAGGGUCUCCUGCCUGGGCUCUGCGCACUGCCCACGUGGAGGCCCAUGACACUUUAGUACCGACACUUUAGGGACUAAAGGGUCGGGGCAUUAGUACCGACACUUUAGUCCCGGUUCAGGAACCAGGACUAAAGGCCCUUACGAACCGGGACUAUAGGCCCUUUUUCUACCAGUGGCUCGUCCCUGCCGCGUGCGGCGAGGGAGGGGCCCCGGUACGUCCCUGACAGCCCAAUCUGGGAGCCGUACUUCCACCGCUGGCACGACGAGCGGCUCGAGGCCACCAAUGGCGUCGUGCCCUCCGGCAGGUUCAACGCCGCCGGUCGGCGUCGGUGGUGGGGCGUGCCCGGGCGCACGUUGGAGUCCGUCCUCGAGUACAUCGAGGGCGGCAACACGCCGUGCCUCGAGUACCCCGCUCCCCCAUCCUCCUCACGCCGCUGUCGGGGAAGCUCCUGGACGCCGAGGCGCAUGGAUACUGGGGUGUCCUCCUCCUCGUCCGGCGGCUCUCCCUGCCUCCACCUCCGCUCCGUCAAGCCGGAGCCCCAGGACACGCCUGUCAGCGCGCGUACCCGCAGCUCCGGCGGCUCUCCCUGCCUCCACCUCCGCCCCGUCAAGCCGGAGCCCCAGGACACGCCUGUCAGCGCGCGCACCCGCAGCUCCGGCGCCCUCGUCGAGCCCAAGGUGGAGUCCAGCCUCACCCCGGAGUACGAGGAGAUAGCCCGAUGCGGCUUCUCCGACGAGGACGCCAUGCGGUGGUCGCACGACGACUACCUGCGCGAGGAGAUGAUCCAGCAGCGCCGGGCCCUAGAGGAGAUUGCCGCCCGCAAACGUGGGCGCGAGGACGAGGACGGUGUCGUCAUCCUCGAUAGCGACGACGACGAUGCCCCCGGACCGUCCAACCCGCCGCGCCAACCGGGGGAGGGAUGCAGCAGGGACGGCGGAGGCGUAGGCGGGGGCAACGACAACAACAACGACGGUGACUACACGCGGUUCUACAGCCUCCCCGGCAUGUAGAACCGCGUGGGCGGGCGGCGAGGCGGGCGGCGAGGGAGACGGCGGGGGUAGCCCGCGGUAGUUUUUUUUCUUUUUUUUUUGUAAAAUAUGUUUAAAUUUGAACGAACUCACCCGUGUUUGCGUUGUGUUUGUGCCGAAUUUGAACAUUUUAAAAACCCGUGGGGGGCCGCGACUGGGGGGCAUCACGCCCCCAGUGCGCGGUUUAGCGCCGGUGCGCCCCAGGGGCGAUUUUUUGCCCCUCCUGGGGGGCCAACGGCUGGAGAUGCCCUGACUUCGUCGUAGACAUCACCGGCGAGCAGAACUAUGAAUAUCACGGCCGUUUCUUUCACCUGCAAUCACGCGCUGUGGGAUGCCGUAGCAGGCCAGGCCCAUGUUGCAGAGCAUGAAGAGGAUGCUCAGCUUCUCGCCGGUUUACGUUGGCCAGCGUGCACGUCGUCGCCGUAGCGGCCGUUGCAUCAGACUGGACCUGUGAAAUCCUGCAAACCAGCAUCACACUGAGCAGAUUUGGUGGAGUUUCGACAUCUACCACCGUACCAUGUUGGACUCCGAUGACCAUGCCCAUCAAAACCCUUAUCUCUUGUCACGUCCACUUCGGCUUGACCUCAUUAACGUCGGUCUUCCGCGUGCCCGCAUUCAUGGCAGCAUGACGACUGAGAGGCCUACUUGGUGGACUCUUCCUCCUCCGCAGAUCAUACCCGCACUCCUCAUCCUCUCCCACCCAUCCACCGACCGUCACACAUCACCACACCACCAGCCACCGCGAGGGCCAAAGAAGUAAUCCUCGGCGCACGACAACGUGUUCGGGGGCAACUCUAUAAACCAGGUGCCGCUUUGGGUGACGGUUCCUCUGCGGGUGGACUGGGUGCCAAUCUCGAAGGAGAAGGUGUGGACGUUUGAGGAGGAGCGAGCGGAGGAGGAGGUUGCCCUCAUUGCCGAGGAGGAUCAUUGUUAUUAUGCGUCGCCACCCGCGCAUGAGGAUCUUGCCCUCGAUGAGUACCUGAAUUGGUACCCCAAAGCACUUCUCAUUGUGUCGGAUAUCCAUCACUUAUAUGUGUUGAUCCCGUAUGAGAAGGAAGAGAAACCACACACGCUCAUUUCAGCGAUUACCUGAUCAAGAUCAGAUGGCGAUGAAGGUGCCGGUGGCUUCGGAGUCCACCUUACAAGGUCAACAUCUUCGUACCUCACCAAGUAUUUAUAACGCCCCGAGACCGAUGUGCCAGGUGUCUUCCAGUUAUUCACUGUUGUUGCCUUGUCAUUUGCUUGCGUGUCAUGCAUUUCAUAUCAUGUCAUCAUGUGCAUCGCAUUUGCAUACAUGUUCGUCUCAUGCAUCCGAGCAUUUUCCCCUUAUCCGUUUUGCAUUCCGGCGCCCCUAUGUCAUCCGGUGUCCCCUUUUGACUCUUUUUCGUGUGCGGGUGUUAAACGUUCUCGGAUUGGACCGAGACUUGUCAUGCGGCCUUGGUUUACUACCAGUAGACCGCCUGUCAAGUUUCGUGCCAUUUUGACUUCGUUUGAUACUCCAACGGUUAAAUGAGUUUUGCACUUUUUCCAUCCUUGCUUGAACCUGCUAUUGAGUGAAUUAGCUGUAGCUCAGUGUUCAUCUUUUGUCAAGCAUCUUGAGUGGAUCACUUCCAUGCAUUUUGUUGUUAUGUUUGAGUGCAGUAGCUUGUUGUUCUUGAUGCAUUUAGAUGGCCUCGUACUGUUAAUCGCAGCUUUGUGUCAUAUUUGUUUUGCUUGCCAUUUCCAAACCGUGCAUCCGAUUCCGGUGAUCUUUAUAUCGAUCUCGACCGAAAUCAACUCAUCUUUCCAGCGGCACUCUUGGUUUUCCAAGUUGAGGCCAGGUUCAAUCUUUCCUUUCGAAAGCAUGCAUAUGCAUUGCAUAUCGCAUCCCGCAUAUCAUGUCUUGUGUUGCAUCAUGUUGCUUGCGCAUUGCACCGUGGUUGAUUUUUGUUCCCUUUUCUUGUGUUCUUGCUUUGGGUAGAGCCGGGAGACAAGUUUAAAUAGUCUUGAUCGCGAGGGUGUGAGAUUGCUGAGUCCCCGUGACUCACAGAUUACUUCCAAACUAGCUUGCAGGUGCCGAUGAUAUCAUGCAGGUGACGCAACCAAGCUCAAGGAGGAGCUCGACGAAGUCCGUGUUUGUUAUGUUGUUUCGUUUCCAGUUGAUCAGUAGUGGAGCCCAGUUGGGGCGAUCGGGGAUCUGUAGCAUUAGGGGUGGUCUUCUUUUAUUUUGGUUCUGUAGUCGGACCUUGAUUGUAUCUGGAUGUUGUAAUGCUUUACUCAUAUAUUGUGUGAAGUGGCGAUUGUAAGCCAACUAUGUAUCUCUUUUGUUAUUCAGUACAUGGGAUGUGUAAAGAUUACCCCUCUUGCGGCAUUGCUUACAAUGCGGCUAUGCCUCUAAGUCGUGCUUCGACACGUGGGAGAUAUAGCCGCAUCGUGGGCGUUACAAGUUGGUAAUCAGAGUCUUCCCCGACUUAGGAGCCCCCUGCUUGAUCGAAUCUCUGGCGUUGUUGAGUCUAGAAAAAUGUUUUGAGUCCUUUAGGAUUAUAUAUAUCAGAGAGUAGGAUUCUUUUUAUUCCUCAGUCCCUUCAUCGCUCUGGUGAGGCAUCCUGAUGUAGAGUUUUGACUUUUCUCUUCUCAAAUUUUACUAAAAAAAAUUAGGAUCACACGGGUAUCUUGGAAUCAUUCCGAUGGUUUUGUGACGAGAACAUUGUUCUUGCUGCCUCCUAACAUUUAAGGGUGGUGGCAGUGUCCCGGGGAGUUGAGCUCCGAGGUGUUGUCGUCACAAUUUUAUCGUUGCAGUUCUGGAAUACCUAAGUUUCGCCGACAUCGAAAAUCUUUUUUAUGCAGUUGUUGGUGAGUGAUAACCCACAAGUAUAGGGGAUCGCAACAGCUUUCGAGGGUAGAGUAUUCAACCCAAAUUUAUUGAUUCGACACAAGGGGAGCCAAAGAAUAUUCUCAAGUAUUAGCAGCUGAAUUAUCAAUUCAACCACACCUGGAAACUUAGUAUCUGCAGCAAAGUGUUUAGUAGCAAAGUAAUAUGAUAGUGGUGGUAGCAGCAACAAAAGUAAAGACAACAAAAGUAAUGUUUUUGGUAUUUUGUAGUGAUUGUAACAGUAGCAGCGGGAAAGUAAAUAAGCGAGAACCAGUAUAUGGAAAACUCGUAGGCACGGGAUCAGUGAUGGAUAAUUAUGCCGGAUGUGGUUCAUCAUGUAACAGUCAUAACAUAGGGUGACACAGAACUAGCUCCAAUUCAUCAAUGUAAUGUAGGCAUGUAUUUCGUAUAUAGUCAUACGUGUUUAUGGAAAAGAACUUGCAUGGCAUCUUUUCUCCUACCCUCCUGUGGCAGCGGGGUCCUAUUGGAAACUAAGGGAUAUUAAGGCCUCCUUUUAAUAGAGAACCGGAACAAAGCAUUAGCACAUAGUGAAUACAUGAACUCCUCAAACUAUGGUCAUCACCAGGAGUGGUCCCGAUUAUUGUCACUUCGGGGUUGCCGGAUCAUAACACAUAGUAGGUGACUAUAGACUUGCAAGAUAGGAUCAAGAACUCACAUAUAUUCAUGAAAACAUAAUAGGUUCAGAUCUGAAAUCAUGGCACUCAGGCCCUAGUGACAAGCAUUAAGCAUAGCAAAGUCAUAGCAACAUCAAUCUCAGAACAUAAUGGAUACUAGGGAUCAAACCCUAACAAAACUAACUCGAUUACAUGAUAAAUCUCAUCCAACCAAUCACCGUCCAUCAAGCCUACGAUGGAAUUACUCACACACGGCGGUGAGCAUCAUGAAAUUGGUGAUGGAGGAUGGUUGAUGAUGACGACGGCGACAUAUCCCCCUCUCCGGAGCCCUGAACGGACUCCAGAUCAGCCCUCCCGAGAGGUUUUAGGGCUUGGCGGCGGCUCCGUAUCGUAAAACGCGAUGAUUUCUUCUCUCUGAUUUUUUUCUCAUCGAAACUCAAUACAUGGAGGUGGAGUUGGAGUCGGAGACGCAACAGGGGGCCCACGAGGUAGGGGCGCGCCCUAGGGGGGGGGGGCGCCCCCCACCCUCGUGAGAAGGGUGUGGGCCCCCUGGUCUUCAUCUUUGGCGAGAAUUUUUUAUUGUUUUUUAUAAGAUGUUCCGUGGACUUGCAGGUCAUUCCGAGAGUAUUUGUUUUCUGCACAUAAAACAACACCAUGGUAAUUCUGCUGAAAACAGCGUCAGUCCGGGUUAGUUCCAUUCAAAUCAUACAAGUUAGAGUCCAAAACAAGGGCAAAAGUGUUUGGAAAAGUAGAUACGAUGGAGACAUAUCAACUCCCCCAAGCUUAAACCCUUGCUUGUCCUCAAGCAAUUCAGUUGACAAACUGAAAGAAAGAAAAACUUUUACAAACUCUGUUUGCUCUUGUUGUUGUUAUAACUAUGUCAAGCCAGCAUUCAAGUUUUCAGCAUAGAUCAUAACUAACCACACUUGCAAUAAUUCUCAGGUCUCAUCAUUACUCAUAUCAAUAGCAUAAUCAACUAGCAAGUCAUAAUAAUAAAUCUCAGAUGACAACACUUUCUCAAAACAAUCAUAAUAUGAUAUAACAAGAUGGUAUCUCACUAGCCCUUUCUGAGACCACAAAACAUAAAUGCAGAGCACCUUUAAAGAUCAAGGACUGACUAGACAUUGUAAUUCAUGGUAAAAGAGAUCCAAUCAUAGUCAUACCCAAUAUAAAUUAACAAUGAUGAAUGAAAAUGACAGUUGUGCUCUCCAGCUAGUGCUUUUUAAUAAGAGGGUGAUGACUCAACAUAAAAGUAAAUGGAUAGGCCCUUCGCAGAGAGAAGCAAGGAUUUGUAGAGGUGCUAGAGCUCGGUUUUGAAAUAGUGAUAAAUUGUAUUUUGAGCGACAUACUUUCAUUGUCAACAUAACAACUAAGAGAUGGCGAUAUCUUCCAUGGUAAACACAUUAUAGGCGGUUCCCAAACAGAAUGGGAAAGUUUAUACUCCCCCUCCACCAACAAGCACCAAUCCAUGGCUUGCUCAAAACAAUGAGUGCCUCCAACAUACAUCAGGUCCCAGGGGGAGUUUUGUUUGCAAUUAAUUUUGAUUUAGUUUGCAUAAAGCAUGGGACUGGGCAUCCCGGUGACCAGCCAUUUUCUCGUGAGUGAGGAGCGGAGUCCACUCCUCUUGAGAAUAACCCACCUAACAUGGAAGAUAAGGACAACCUUUGUUGAUACAUGGGCUAUUCGAGCAUACAAAACAGAAUAUUUAUUUGAAGGUUUAGAGUGUGGCACAUACAAAUUUACUUGGAACGGCAAGUAGAUACCGCAUAUAGGAAGGUAUAGUGGACUCAUUUGGAAUAAUUUUGGGGUUUAAGGGAUUGGAUGCACAAGCAGUAUUCCCGCUUAGUACAAGUGAAGGCUAGCAAAAGACUGGGAAGCGACCAACUAGAGAGCGACAACAACCAUGUACAUGCAUUAAAAUGAAUAAACAUUGGAUGCAAGCAUGAGUAGGAUAUAAUCCACCAUGAACAUAAAUAUCGUGAAGGCUAUGUUGAUUUUGUUUCAACUACAUGCGUGAACAUGUGCCAAGUCAAGUCACUUAAAUCAUUCAAAAGAGGAUACCACCCCAUCAUACCACAUCAUAAUCAUCUCAAUAGCAUGUUGGCACACAAGGUAAACCAUUAUAACUCAUAGCUAAUCAAGCAUGGCACAAGAAACUAUGAUCUCUAAUUGUCAUUGCAAACAUGUUUAUUCAUAAUAAGCUGAAUCAAGAACGAGGGACUCAUCAUAUUUACAAAAACAAAACAGGUCGAGUUCAUACCAGCUUUUCUCAUCUCAGUCAGUCCAUCAUAUAUCAUCAUAAUUUCCUUUCACUUGCACAACCGAAAGGUGUGAAUAAUAAUAAGAAUGCACGUGCAUUGGACUAAGCUGGAAUAUGCGAGUAUUCAAUAAAAGGAGAAGACAAGGCAAUAUGGGCUCUUGGUUAAAUCAACAAUAAUGCAUAUAAGAGCCACUUCAACAAUUUAAUUAAGGUCUUCUCCUACCGACCCCCAAAUAAAAGAAAGAAAUAAACUAUUUACACGGAAAAGCUCCCAACAAGCAAAAGAAGAACGGGAAAUAUUUUUGGGUUUUCUUUUUUAUUAUUACUACUACAUCAGAAAAAUAAACUACUACUAUUUUUUUGGUUUUUCUUAAGGUUUAACAAACACACAAGAAGAAAGCAGGAAAAGGAAAAUAAACUAGCAUGGAUAUUACAGUGAAAAAGUAUGAGCACCGACAUCUAGCAAUGAGUGUGUGUGAACAUAAAUGUAAUGUUGGUGAGAAAUACGUACUCCCCCAAGCUUAGGCUUUUGGCCUAAGUUGGUCUAUGGCCACGGCUGGCCUGGCGGAUAUCCAUUAUAAUAGUUGUUGGGGUCGUACUGUGAUGAGGACAAAUAGUUGGGAUCAUACUGUGAUGAAGAAGAAGACUCUGACUGCCACUGGCUGACAGUCAUCUCUGGAUCCCAAGAAUAAACAGAUUGUCGUGGAGGCUCAUCUUGUGGUUCCUGUUCUGGCUCCUCUACUGGUGCAGGGUUCUGGUAGGCAUGAAUAGCCGUCAACGGAACAAGGUACGUGCCUGCAGUCAAAUCAAACAAAGAAGGAGCAGGCAAGGUAAUAGUCUCAGGAUGAUGUUUAUUAAAGAACAAUUGAUAUUUAAGCUCCCUUGCCCUAUUUUUAACAAUAAAAUCAUGUGCCACCAUACUUUUAUGAUCUAGAUAAACACGGGGCAGCACCUUUUCUUACUUCUCAGCAUGCCUAAUAGGUAUGUUAAAAUGUGCGGCUAGGCGUGUGGCAUAGAUGCCUCCAAAGAUGGGGCCCUUAGUACGGUUCAUAUUUAACCGUCUAGCAAUAAUACCGCCCAAACUAAAAGUGUUAUCACUUUAUAAACCUUGGAGCAGAAUAAUUAAAUCAGGGAUACUAAGGUUUCCAGAAUUUCCGUGUCCAAUUAAACAACGACUAGCAAAUAAUGCAAAGUAACGCAAAACAGGAAAAUGUAUGCUAGUGAUUCGUGCGUCGGAAACCUUCCUGGUUUCUCCUACAGUGAUAUUAUCAAUAAACCCAGCCACAUCAACAUGAUGUGGUUCUUCUGUCUUGCCCUCAAAAGGGACUAAACAAAUCCGACAGAAAUCAUAAAGUGACAUCUCCUUAUGCUCAUCAUAUAAAUGAAAACUCCACCGUAGGUGGUGAGUUCCUAGAAUGAAAAUGAAAGUUUUGCACAAAGGUAUUUGUGAGUAAGAGAUACUGAUCGCAUUGGUCGUGGAGGAAAGCGGUGAGGCCUGCAUUGUGAGCCAAUUCAUGAAAAUCUUCAUAGAUACUGGCUGCUCUCAAGAAAUCUUCAGAAGGCCAUUCACACGCCCGAAUCUCCGCAGUGCGCGGCAAAUUAUACUUAGGCUUCGAUGCCUUUUCCUUCGAGCUUUGGCUCGACGAGCCCCUCAAAAAUCUCCUCAUUAUUUUUCUGAAACAAUCUAAAAUUUUUAGUAACUUCAAACAAAAGUGAACCAACUUCAAUAAAACUGAUAGCAACUACUCCUACAAGUGCCUAUAGCCUAUAUCAAGCAUUAGAACUACUUAGAACCAUAUAAAUUUGACAUGCAAGCUCAAGAACAUGGUCACCUAUGCAGCACCAAAUUUGCAAAGAAUAAAGCACUAGAACAAAAACUAAUUGGACCAAUGGAGGAGUCACAUACCAAGGAACAAUCUCCCCAAGCAGUUUUGCGAGAGGUGCUUUGAGCAAGGAGGUCGAAAAUCGCAGCAAAAGUGGCUGGAACUCGUGCUUGAGUUGGUUUUUCGGGUUUGUGUGAGAUAGAGGAAGAAGAUGGGUGCUGGGAUAAGUGGAGGAGGGCCACCGUGGGCCCACGAGGCAGGGGGCGCCCCUAUAGGGGGGGGGGCACCACCCUCGUGACCAGGUGGCAGCUCCUCCCGCGGUAAUUUUUGCACAGUAAAUCCUCAAAUAUUCCCAAAAAAAUCAUAUUAAAUUGGCAUGGCAUUCUGAGGACUUUUAGUUUCGGGAUAUUUUUAUAUUGCACUGAUAAGUCAGGAAACAGACAUAAAAUACUAUUUUUACUUUAUUUAAUAUAAAUAAUAGAAAGUAAAAGUGGGGUACAGAAGGUUGUGCUUCUAGUUUCAUCCAUCUCAUGCUCAUCAAAAAGAAUCCACUAACAAGGUUGAUCAAGUCUUGUUAACAAACCCAUUUCGAUAAUCAUGAAAUCGGAGAAAUUUUGAAUAACACUAAGUUACCUCAACGGGGAUAUGCACAUCCCCAAUAAUAAGAAUAUCAUAUUUCUUCUUGACAGUAGGAAGAGGAAAUUCAAAACCUCCAAAUAUAAUGAAUGGAAUUUUUCCAAUAGAGUUGAUACUAUGAACUUGAGGUUGUUUCCUCGGAAAGUGUACCGUAUGCUCAUUACCAUUAACAUGAAAAGUGACAUUGCCUUUGUUGCAAUCAAUAACAGCCCCUGCAGUAUUAAGAAAAGGUCUUCCAAGAAUAAUAGACAUACUACCAUCCUCGGGAAUAUCAAGAAUAACAAAGUCCGUUAAAAUAGUAACAUUUGCAACCACAACAGGCACAUCCUCACAGAUACCGACAGGUAUAGCAGUUGAUUUAUCAGCCAUUUGCAAAGAUAUUUCAGUAGGGGUCAGCUUAUUCAAGUCAAGUAUACGAUAUAAAGAGAGAGGCAUAACGCUAACACCGGCUCCAAGAUCACAUAAAGCAGUUUUAAUAUAAUUUCUUUUAAUGGAGCAAGGUAUAGUAGGUACUCCGGGGUCUCCAAGUUUCUUUGAUAUUCCAUCCUUAAAAGUAAUUAGCAAGCAUGGUGGAAAUCUCAGCUUCCGGUAUCUUUCUUUUAUUAGUAAUGAUAUCCUUCAUAUAUUUAGCAUAAGGAUUUGUUUUGAGCACAUCAGUUAAUCUCAUACGCAAAAAGAUAGGCCUAAUCAUUUCAGCAAAGCGCUCAAAAUCCUCGUCAUCCUUUUUCUUGGAUGGUUUCGGAGGAAAAGGCAUGGGUUUCUGAACCCAAGGUUCCCUUUCUUUACCAUGUUUCCUAGCAACAAAGUCUCUUUUAUCAUAACAUUGAUUCUUUGAUUGUGGGUUAUCAAGAUCAACAUCAGGUUCAAUUUCUAGAUCAUUAUCAUUACUAGGUUGAGCAUCAUCAUGAACGUCAUCAUUAAUAUUUUUACUAGGUUCAUGUUCAUUACCAGAUUGUGUUUCAGCAUCAGACAUAGAUAUAUCAUUUGGAUUAUCAGGUGGUUCAUCAAUAGGUUCACUAGAAGUUUGCACAGUUCUAUCAUUUUUCUUCUUCUUUUUAGAAGAACUAGGAACAUCAAUAUUAUUUCUUUGAGAAUCUUGCUCGAUUCUCUUAAGGUGGCCUUCAGGAUACAAAGGUUCCUGAGUCAUUCUACCAGUUCUAGUAGCCACUCUAACAACAUAAUCAUUUUUCUUACUAUUCAUUUCAUCAAGAACUUCUUUUUGAGCCUUAAGUACUUGUUCUACUUGAGUGGUAACCAUAGAAGCAUGCUUGCUAACAAGUUUAAGUUCACCUUUAAUAUUAGCCAUAUAAUCACCCAAGCGUCUAAUCAUAUAAGCAUUUUCUUUUAAUUGUCUACCAAAAUAAGCAUUGAAGUCAUCUUGCUUAAACAUAAACUUAUCAAACUCAUCCAAGCACUGACUAGCAAUUUUAGUAGGAGGGACUUCAGCUUUAUCAUAUCUAUAGAGAGAAUUUACCUUUACUACCUGUGUCGGGAUAUCGGGAUCAGGAGGUUCUUCAGUAAAUAAAGAAUUAAGAUCAUAUGUUUCUUCAACAGGCGGUAUAUUAAGACCAUGUAUUUCUUCAAUAGGAGGUAAAUUCUUAACGUCUUCAGCUUUAAUACCUUUUUCUUUCAUAGAUUUCUUUGCCUCUUGCAUAUCUUCGGGACUGAGAAAUAGAACACCUCUCUUCUUCGGAGUUGGUUUAGGAAUAGGCUCAGUAAUUGGAGCAGGAGAUGGCUCAGGAGCUGGCUCAGGAGGUGCCCAAUUAUUUUCAUUUUUCAACAUAUUAUUCAAUAGAAUUUCAGCUUCAUCCGGUGUUCUUUCCCUGAAAAGAGAACCAGCACAACUAUCCAGGUAAUCUCUGGAAGCAUCGGUUAGUUCAUUAUAAAAGAUAUCAAGUAUUUCAUUUUUCUUAAGAGGGUGAUCAGGCAAAGCAUUAAGUAAUUGGAGAAGCCUCCCCCAAGCUUGUGGGAGACUCUCUUCUUCAAUUUGCACAAAAUUAUAUAUAUCCCUUAAGGUAGCUUGUUUCUUAUGAGCAGGGAAAUAUUUAGUAGAGAAGUAAUAAAGCAUAUCCUAGGGACUAUGCACACAACCAGGAUCAAGAGAAUUAAACCAUAUCUUAGCAUCACCCUUUAAUGAGAACGGAAAUAUUUUGAGUAUAUAAAAGUAACGUGAUCUCUCAUCAUUAGUAAAUAGGGCAGCUAUAUCAUUUAACUUAGUAAGAUGUGCCACAAUAGUUUCAGAUUCAUAGCCAUAAAAUGGAUCAGAUUCAACCAAAGUAAUUAUAUCAGGAUCAACAUAGAAUUCAUAAUCUUUAUCAGGAACACAUAUAGGUGAAGUAGCAAAAGCAGGGUCAGGUUUCAUUCUAUCUCUAAGUGAUUCUUUAUUCCAUUUAAUUAAUAACCUCUUAAGCUCAUAUCUAUCUUUGCAAGCAAAAAUAGCGGCAGAAGAUUCCAUAUCAAAAAGGUAACCCUCAGGAAUAACAGGCAUAUUUUCAUCAUCACUAUCAUCAUCAUAUUCAGAUUCAAUAAUUUCUUUUUCUCUAGCCCUAGCAAUUUGUUCAUCAAGAGAAUCACUAAGAGGCACAGUAGUAUCAGGCAUAGAAGCAGUUUCAUCAUAAGUAUCAUGCAUAGCAGAAGUGGCAUCAUCAAUAACAUGCAACAUAUCAGAACGAAUAGCAGAAACUGGUGUAGGUGUCGCAAACUUACUCAUAAUAGAAGGUGAAUCAAGUGAAGAGCUAGAUGGCAGUUCCUUACCUCCCCUCGUAGUUGAGAGAUAGAUCUUGGUUUUUGGAUCUCUCAAGUUCUUCAUAGUGUCCAGCAGAUAUAAAUCCCAAGUGACUCAAAGAAUAGAGCUAUGCUCCCCGGCAACGGCGCCAAAAAUUAUUCUUGAUAACCCACAAGUAUAGGGGAUCGCAAAAGCUUUCGAGGGUAGAGUAUUCAACCCAAAUUUAUUAAUUCGACACAAGGGGAGCCAAAGAAUAUUCUCAAGUAUUAGCAGUUGAGUUGUCAAUUCAACCACACCUGGAAACUUAGUAUCUGCAGCAAAGUGUUUAGUAGCAAAGUAAUAUGAUAGUGGUGGUAGCAGCAACAAAAGUGAAGACAGCAAAAGUAAUGUUUUUGGUAUUUUGUAGUGAUUGUAACAGUAGCAGCGGGAAAGUAAAUAAGUGAGAACCAGUAUAUGGAAAACUCGUAGGCACCGGAUCAGUGAUGGAUAAUUAUGCCGGAUGCGGUUCAUCAUGUAACAGUCAUAACAUAGGGUGACACAGAACUAGCUCCAAUUCAUCAAUGUAAUGUAGGCAUGUAUUCCGUAUAUAGUCAUACGUGCUUAUGGAAAAGAACUUGCAUGACAUCUUUUGUCCUACCCUCCCGUGGCAGCGGGGUCCUAUUGGAAACUAAGGGAUAUUAAGGCCUCCUUUUAAUAGAGAACCGGAACAAAGCAUUAGCACAUAGUGAAUACAUGAACUCCUCAAACUAUGGUCAUCACCAGGAGUGGUCCCGAUUAUUGUCACUUCGGGGUUGCCGGAUCAUAACACAUAGUAGGUGACUAUAGACUUGCAAGAUAGGAUCAAGAACUCACAUAUAUUCAUGAAAACAUAAUAGGUUCAGAUCUGAAAUCAUGGCACUCGGGCCCUAGUGACAAGCAUUAAGCAUAGCAAAGUCAUAGCAACAUCAAUCUCAGAACAUAAUGGAUACCAGGGAUCAAACCCUAACAAAACUAACUCGAUUACAUGAUAAAUCUCAUCCAACCCAUCACCGUCCAGCAAGCCUACGAUGGAAUUACUCACGCACGGCAGUGAGCAUCAUGAAAUUGGUGAUGGAGGAUGUUGAUGAUGACGACGGCGAUGAAUCCCCCUCUCCGGAUCCUCGAGCGGACUCCAGAUCAACCCUCCCGAGAGGUUUUAGGGCUUGGCAGCGGCUCCGUAUUGUAAAACGUGAUGAUUUCUUCUCUCUGAUUUUUUUCUCAUUGAAACUCAAUAUAUGGAGGUGGAGUUGGAGUAGGAGACGCAACAGGGGGCCCACGAGGUAGGGGCGCGCCCUGGGGGCGCCCCCACCCUCGUGAGAAGGGUGUGGGCCCCCUGGUCUUCAUCUUUGGCGAGGAUUUUUUAUUGUUUUUUCUAAGAUGUUCCGUGGAGUUUCAGGUCAUUCCGAGAAUAUUUGUUUUCUGCACAUAAAACAACACCAUGGUAAUUCUGCUGAAAACAGCGUCAGUCCGGGUUAGUUCCAUUCAAAUCAUACAAGUUAGAGUCCAAAACAAGGGCAAAAGUGUUUGGAAAAAUAGAUACGACGGAGACGUAUCAGUGAGAUAACCUCGACGCCACCCAGUACUGGGGCGGGAGUUCGGGAGUAUCGCCAUAACUCGUAUAACAGAUGCUUUUCGAAGGUUGAGGUAAAUGAUUUCCGAAGGUUUCUUGGUUAUGUGUUGAAGGAUGGAUACAGCUGGAUGUAGGAUUUGCUAGUUUUGGCCCUGUAUCCCCAACACCUGAUUGCAUAAUCAGAAAGGUUCGGGAGUUUAUAAGUGGGAAUUCAAGUAGUGUCUAGGAUAUCUUUCCGACAUAUGUAUGAUAUGAAAUUGGGGUUCGACGUCUAGUGGUCCGCCUAUCCACGGUUGGUUUUACAGUGGUCUUGUUGUGUCUUAAAGAGUCCUUGGCUAUGCUGACUCGGGGACGCUUCGUAUGUCAUGUGCACUGCCUUGUACAUGAUGUUGUUGUACGAUCGAGCCCAUGUAGGCCCCACCACAAAAACUGCGGACGAAAUCUCUAUCAUAUGUUUGUUCCGGUUUAUUUUGCAAGCCAAUCCUUUGUUUUUGUUUUUGAGUUGUGGUAGUUGAGUUGCUUUGAAGUCAAGUGUUGAUUCCAUACCUUUCCUAAGCAGUGUUCUCAUGUUCCUAUGUGAAUACUAAUCCUUCUCGAUCAUCGAGAUUGUCAUGUCAAUCCUUUUCAACCGGUGUGUAUCUCUUCAAGUGGAUCCGAUCAUUCCUUCAUUCGCGAGAUCAAUUCUCAAUUCUUUGCAACGGUGUUUGCUUCAUCCGUCCCAAGUUACCUUUAUUUUUCCCGCCCUCCCUCCCUUUGUUUCUUCAAGGACUCAGAUUUCUUAUUAAAGUAUCCUUUUAUUGAUGGGAAGCCUCUCCAUUCUUUCCGUCAUUGUAAUUAUCCGGUGAUUCUCAAGAAGAUGCUAACGGAGCUUCAAGUUCAUCAUUCUUCGUUUCUUUUAUCUUCUCCGGUGGGUUCAAUUCAAGCUUUUGGUGUUGAUCAUAUCCCGUUUCCUCGUUUCAAAUGCUUUCCCAUGCCGUUGCACCUCAUAAUCAUCCACUUCUCGCUAUUCUACUGUUCCGGAGUGCUGAAGAUAUCUCAGAAGGCUCGUCUUGUCAUCCAAGAUCCGUUCAACCUAUUUCGAGGUCUUAUCUUAUUCAAGCCAUUUAAUUCAACCGGUGCUAUCUCCUUUUCAAGUAAUCAUUCCAACGGUGUUUCUCUUGAGUGGGCCCUAACCCACACGUCUUUGUCCAGGAUCUUACCUGACUCUUCUUAUUUUCCCGGAGCUAUCCUCAAAUUCUUUUCAGAGUUUGACAUAAGAAUGAUUCUUCAUCAGUCAGAUGGUUUCUCCAAGAUCUUCCAAAUUCUUUUCACAGUUGGCUCAACCUUUCUAUUCAUCAUUCCGAAGUAUCUCAACAAUUUGGGGGUCUUUCUUAUCGUCAUUCUCUGCAUUUGAAGACCGAAGAAGAGUUUUCAAGAUUCAUGAUUCUAGCUUGUUGCCAUCCUCUCAUAAUUGUUUUGAUUAUGAGAAUUCUUUUCACCCAUCUGAAGUAAUUCAGGAGUCUUUUCAGUUUGAUUCUCCGAAGGCAACCAUUUCAGGUUUAUUCAUCCUCAGCUUUCAGCUAUUGCUCUCCAAAUCUUACCGGUGCAUUGUCUAGAUAUCCUCUAAUCAACUCGGGAUCUCUUCGUUCAUUUGUAUCUAAAUCCUAGCAAGCAUUUUCGUUCAUUUGCUAAUUCUUCCCGAUGUUUCUUUAUCUUUUCUUCGUUCAUUUUCAAUUCUUACGGUGGUUCUCCCAAGACUCUUCUUCCUUCGUUAUCAUAUCAAUUUAUUCAUUCAUGCUUUCCAAAUUCUACCGGUGGAUCGUUGAAGACCUUCUCAAGGUUGCGCUAUAUCUCUCUUAAUCUUUUCUACGAGAAUAAGUAGUGUGCCAAAUCCAUUGUUUGUCAUCAAUUUAAUUGAUGAAGGAUAUGCAUAACAUAAUUCUUAUUCUUGUGUUCAUCCAAGUGAUUAAUUCCUUAUUCCGGAGGCUCAUCAAAUUCUCGAUUUCAUUUGUUUCAUCUUUCUUUUUCGGAGUUCCAGGUCUUAUGCUUUAUCUUGCCACGAGGCUCCAUCUAAAUCAUUGCAAGUCUUCACCUUGUGUUUUCAACUUCUCUUUCCUUUCGUUUGAUCAUCCUUUUGUUACCGGAGUUCUUCGUGGAGGUUCUACAUGUUGGUUCAUCAAGGAUUUAAUUCCUUCUCGAAGCGUUCAUCAAGAUUCUUUUCAUAGGAGCUCAAGUUUUUUCUUCAUUUUGUAAUCCGGAGUGCAUUUGUUCUCUCUUAUGUUUUGAGGUGGUGUUAUGUCAUUGUUGAUAAUGUCCCUUCAUGCUUCAUGAUUCACAUGUUUUCAAAAGUGACAUAUCUAAAUCCAUCAUUUUCUCUGCGUUCAAGACAUCUUUUCAAUCCAAUCAACCUCUUCGUUGGAGUUAUCUUGUGUCAUGUUUCACCUAAAGCCUUCCCUAAGGAUUGUUGCUAUUUAUGGUGCUCAUAUAUGAUCCAAGUUCUUCAUUUAUCCUCCCGGUGAAUAAGUUUCUCGUCUCCUUGUUCAUGUCAAUCCAAUCUAUCAUUUCCAUUAGUGGCAGAAUUUCACCUUAGUUUUUGAGAUGUUUUCCGUAAGCCCACUUCAAGCUUACUCCUUUCGUUGCUGGUUUUUCCAACAACUCCAUUCGACCCUUCUCCUAAGGAUGCCUUUUCUAGCUCAAUUGUGGCAGAAGUUGGCAUUUUCUUCUCCAUUCUUUUAUUUCAAUUAUCUAUCUUCUAUUCUUUCUCCCGGAGGCUUUGUGAUGUUUCUCUUUUCAAUCAUCAUCUCGAAUGGUGAGAAUCAUGUUCUUUUCAUGUUUAUCCAUUUAACCGGAGUGUUGUGCCCUCUGCUUAAGUUCUUUUCAUCUUAUCAAGUCUGAUAUCACUUUUCAACCGGAGUGCCGCCCGAAAUUGUUCUAACUUGUUCCUCUUUUCUAACCGAGUGUUUUCAACUACGUUCAUCUCCGUUGUAUUCUUUUCUCAAAUGGCUUAACUUCUCAAGGUUCUUUGGUUUCACUUGUUUUUCAAAGAAGCAACUAGUUUUACCUCUUCUAUUUCUCUUCCGUUUUUACCUCCAAUGCCAUUCUAGAUCUCGGGACGAGAUCCUCUCGUAGUGGUGGAGUGUUGUAACGCCCGAAGACCGAUGUGCCAUGUGUCUUCCAGUUAUUCGCUGUUAUUGCCUUGUCAUUUGCUUGCGUGUCAUGCAUUUCAUAUCAUGUCAUCAUGUCCAUCGCAUUUGCAUACAUGUUCGUCUCAUGCAUCCGAGCAUUUUCCCCGUUGUCCGUUUUGCAUUCCGGCGCCCCUAUGUCAUCCGGUGUCCCCUUUUGCCUCUUUUUCGUGUGCGGGUGUUAAACAUUCUCGGAUUGGACCGAGACUUGUCAUGCGGCCUUGGUUUACUACCGGUAGACCGCUUGUCAAGUUUCGUGCCAUUUGGACUUCGUUUGAUACUCCAACGGUUAACCGAGGGACCGUAAAGGCCUCAUGUGUGUUGCAGCCUAACACCCCUCCAAAGUGGCCCAAAACCCACCUAAACCCCCUCUAUCAUCUCGGUCGUUCAAUCACGAUCGCGUGGCCGAAAACCGCUCCUCAUUUGGAGUCUCCUAGCUCCCUCUACCUAUAUAUAUGUGGCUCUCCCCGAAAAUUCGCGGACAAAACCCUAGCCUCCCUCUUCCUCGCGCCGCCGGACAUGUCCGUCCCGGACCGGACGGGUCCAGCCGCCGUGCCGGACGAAUCCGGGCACGACAUGUCACCGCCGCCGGCCUCUCUCUCCUCCAGCCCCGCCGCCGGCCCGCGCGGCCCGGAUCAGGCUAGCGGGGCCCAUCUCAUCGCGCCGCCGCCCGUCUACCUCGCGCCCCGAGCAGCCCGUGCUCGCCCGAGCACCGCCCGCUCCCCGGUGCUCGUCCCGCUUCGCCUCGCACCUCACUGGACCGCUCCGCCGCCGCCGCCGUCCUCAGGUCAGGCCGCCGCCCCCGCGCCAUCUCUCGUUUUCCCUUGCUCUCUCUCGCAUCCCGAGCUCCCUCUCUCUCUGUUGCUUCCCAGGGAGCCGCCCCUCCAUGGCCGUCAGGGAUCUCCGCGCCCGGGCCGCCCCAAGCAUCCUCGUCACCGGGAAUGGAGUCCCCGCUCUCGGAUCUGCGCCUCCCCGCCAUCUCCCCUCGUCCCCGGAGCCCGAGUGCCGCCGUGCGGCUUGACCUGCUUCAACCUCCGACCGGGAUGCCUCCGUCCACGCCCGUGCCAGAUCUACCUCGUCCAGCGCCCAAUGAACCAAACGUGAUCUGGAACCUCACCAUCCAGUUUCCGGAGGGUAAAAUUCCACCAAGUCCCCAGCAUUUUUAGCUUUCUUCAUCACAUCAUAACUUUGCACCCGUGGUUCCGUUUUGCGCGUGUAGCAUAUCGAAUUGUUCGUCUCGGUGAGUACUUCAUUUCAUCUCAUUGCAUCAUGUUCAUUUGAGUUUAUCUUGAUGCCCUAAAUGUUGUUGCAAGAGUGCUAGUUUAUAUUAGUUUCAGAUCCAUAUCAGUAAUUGGACAUUUGUCAUUUUUUCCAUGAUUAAUGUGUGCCUCCCAUGAUCUUGAGCCCUACAUGUGUUUUGAAGUAUGCCAUGCCAUCUUUACAGGGGUGUAUGCCAUGUAUUUUUGUGAUCUUUGUGGUGACUAGCACAAGCAUGCAAAGUAGCUCUCAUGAUGUUGCUGAUUUCAGGGACUUAGAAUUUCACUGUCCUUUUCCUGCUGUUAUUUUUAUGCCAUGUAUUCAUGUUGGUACAGAGUGAUCCAUGCCUCUUUUGAGCAUGAUCAGUAAGGAUGUUUUGUAGAUAUUGUAGUGCUCUAUCAAUACAUGUCUUUGUUUGCAUUUAUGGAGCACCCUAACUUGAGUCAAUCGAACUCUACUUUUGCUAUAAAAUGUUCCUGGCAGAAUGUUUACGUGUUUAGCUUUUUUGCCGAGGUUGUUGUAGUUGAUCCAUGCAUGCUAUGCUGUUGUUCUUGACAUGUUUAGCUUCUAUGCCAUGUCUACUUGCUGGGUGUAUGAUUAGUUUGUCAUGUAAUGCCUUGUGGUGAGUGCAUCGAGCUCGCAAACAUGCCUACUUGAUAUCUGUUUUGCCAUGUUCCAGUUUUCUUCUAAGUCUAAAUCUGUUAACGAUAAUUGCUAUGUUCACAUGGUUGCCAUUGUAUUUUCUGAUCCCUUUUGGCUUAUGGUCAGUAAGGGACUUUUGUUGUAUGCUUUGAGUACUUUCAUGCCAUGCCUUGCUUUGCCAUGAUAUGUUCCUGUAGCAUGUUGUUAUCUUACUCUAAGCAUUGCUUCCUGAUGUUAAUUCCUGGCAUGUUGUUUAUUUCACUAAGUCUGUAACCUGAUGCCUUUUGCACUUUUGCCAUGCUUGUUUGAACUUGCUAUUGAGUGAAUUAGCCAUAGCUCAGUGUUCAUCUUUUGUCAAGCAUCUUGAGUGGAUCACUGCCAUGCAUUUUGUUGUUAUGUUUGAGUGCAGUAGCUUGUUGUUCUUGAUGCAUUUAGAUGGCCUCGUGCUGUUAAUCGCAGCUUUGUGUCAUAUUUGUUUUGCUUGCCAUUUCCAAACCGUGCAUCCGAUUCCGGUGAUCUUUAUAUCGAUUUCGACCGAAAUCAACUCAUCUUUCCAGCGGCACUCUUGGUUUUCCAAGUUGAGGCCAGGUUCAAUCUUUCCUUUCCAAAGCAUGCAUAUGCAUUGCAUAUCACAUCCCGCAUAUCAUGUCAUGUGUUGCAUCAUGUUGCUUGCGCAUUGCACCGUGGUUGAUUGUUGUUCCCUUUUCUUGUGUUCUUGCUUUGGGUAGAGCCGGGAGACGAGUUUGUGUUCGAGGAACCCGUUGAGUACGUUUUCGAGGAUCAAGCUUUCGUCUUCUCGGAGAACUUUGCAGGCAAGAUGAACAUACCCUCGAAAUCACUUCUUUCUUCGCUUGCUAGUUGCUCGCUCUUUUGCUAUGCCUAUGUUGCAAUACCUACCACUUGCUAUAUCAUGCCUCUCAUAUUGCUAAGCCAAGCCUCUAACCCACCUUGUCCUAGCAAACCGUUGUUUGGCUAUGUUACCGCUUUGCUCAGCCCCUCUUAGAGCGUUGCUAGUUGCAGGUGAAGAUUGGAGUUUGUUCCUUGUUGGAACAUGGAUAUUUGUUGGGAUAUCACAAUAUCUCUUAUUUAAUUAAGGCAUAUAUAUACUUGGUAAAGGGUGGAAGGCUCGGCCUUAUGCCUGGUGUUUUGUUCCACUCUUGUCGCCCUAGUUUCCGUCAUACCGGUGUUAUGUUCCUUGAUUUUGCGUUCCUUACACGCUCGGGUUAUAAUGGGAACCCCUUGACAGUUCGCCUUUAAUAAAAGUCCUCCAGCAAGGCCCAGCCUUGGUUUUACCAUUUGCAUUAACAACCUACCACCUUCCCUUGGGUUCUGCAGACUCAAGGGUCAUCUUUAUUUUAACACCCCCCCGGGCCAGUGCUUCUCUAAGUGUUGGUCCGAACUGAGUAGACUGCGGGGCCACCUUGGGGAAACUUGAAGGUUGGUUUUACUCGUAGGAUGUCUCAUCCGGUGUUGCCCUGAGAACGAGAUAUGUGCAGCUCCUAUCGGGAUUGUCGGCGCAUCGGGUGGCUUUGCUGGUCUUGUUUUACCAUUGUCGAGAUGUCUUGUAACCGGUAUUCCGAGCCUGAUCGGGUCUUCCUGGGAGAAGGAAUAUCCUUCAUUGACCGUGAGAGCUUGUGAUAGGCUAAGUUGGGACACCCCUGCAGGGAUUUGAACUUUCGAAAGCCGUGCCCGCGGUUAUGGGCAGAUAGGAAUUUGUUAAUGUCUGAUUGUAGAAAACUUGACACCUAACUUAAUUAAAAUGCAUCAACCACGUGUGUAGCCGUGAUGGUCUCUUCUCGCCGGAGUCCGGGAAGUAAACACGGUGUUGGAGUUAUGCUUGAACGUAAGUAGAUUUGGAUCACUUCUUGAUCAUAGAUUCUCGAUCGUGCUUUGCCUUCUCUUCUUGCUCUCUUUUGCAUAUGUUAGCCACCAUAUAUGCUAGUGCUUGCUGCAGCUCCACCUCAUACCGUUUCCCUACCCAUAAGCUUAAAUAGUCUUGAUCGCGAGGGUGUGAGAUUGCUGAGUCCCCGUGACUCACAGAUUACUUCCAAACCAGCUUGCAGGUGCCGAUGAUAUCGUGCAGGUGACGCAACCAAGCUCAAGGAGGAGCUCGACAAAGUCCGUGUUCGUUAUAUUGUUUCGCUUCCAGUUGAUCAGUAGUGGAGCCCAGUUGGGGCGAUCGGGGAUCUGUAGCAUUAGGGGUGGUCUUCUUUUAUUUUGGUUCCAUAGUCGGACCUUGAUUGUAUCUGGAUGUUGUAAUGCUUUACUCAUGUAUUGUGUGAAGUGGUAAUUGUAAGCCAACUAUGUAACUCUUUCCUUAUUCAGUACAUGGGAUGUGUAAAGAUUACCCCUCUUGCGACAUUGCUUACAAUGCGGCUAUGCCUCUAAGUCGUGCUUCGACACGUGAGAGAUAUAGCCGCAUCGUGGGUGUUACAGUAUUAGUUAUGAUUAGUUUGAUUUUAGGUUGAACUUAUUUAAUUCGUCUAUUUAGUUAUAAUGUAUCUAUCGUUGUUUAAAUUACGUAUGUUUCAUUUCAGUUUCAUCUAUGUCUGUGAGAGCUCUGUUUCUAAUGGACCAGAUAUUUGGUGUCCACGACUGUAUGGUCGAUGCCCCGCCCAUCAAUCUUGAACACGGUUAGACGUGUGCGUGGAUAUUUGAUGUCGUCCAUUUGGUGAUCCACGUUGGAGUUACCCUAACCCUGUGAGUAAGGGCGCAAACUCACCAUUGGUGGUAUAUUUAAAACAAGAAAUGUUCAAACAUGUAGGAUCAACCAACUUACUAGGAAUGUUGCACGGUGCCUUUACCACGUGAUCCUAAUCCACAAAAGAGUAAAAGGGAGAUAAUUUUUAUUAAACAAAAUAUCACUAAUAUUUAGCCACACAAUGAACAAUUGCUAAGGGUGACUCUAACAGUUUCCCUAAAAAAACUCCUUGUAAAAUAGGUUUUACAGAUUUUAGGGGAAGUUCCUUCAUAGCAACUUUUGUCAGAUCAUGUAAAUUUCUUCCCCUAAAAGCCUAAUUCUCCUAUUUUUUUAUUAAACAUAAAUAGAAAUGACAUAUGCAUAUGUCUAAUAUCAUCAUAAUAAUUCAAACAAUGAUACAUACAAGUCACAUACUUGAUAAUAGUUUCAAAAUGGUAUGGCAUUCAAGUCCGAUUAAACAUAAUCGAUGGUCAAAAACAUUGCAAAUAAAACAUAGUGCAAAAUUUAUUGGCCAUGAAAUGUCCACAAAUGCUCAACUAGCUAGAUCACGCCUGAGUUGGUGAGAACCGGCACGGGCUUCUAUGCGUCGAUGCAUUUUGAGAAAUUUCUACAAUCGUCGUUCAUCCCUGUGUGGCUAAACUGGUGGCAUGUAAAUUUUGUUCCCCUCAUUCUCAUAGCGAUAGGCAUGCAGUUGUUCCCUCUCAUCCUCUAUCAUCAUGUUAUGCCAUAUCACGCACGUGAUCAUGAUACACCACAAGUCCUUUUGAUGCCAAAAGUGUGUAGGACCACAAACAAUGGCAACCGAGCUUGGAGAACCCCAAAUGCCCGCUCAACAUCAUUUCUACAUGCUUCUUGUCUCCUAGGAAAGCAAGUAUUCUUGUUACCUCCAUGGUUUGAUAUUGUCUUCACAAAAGCUAACAAUGCCAAAUAUAUGUCAUCAGCGAGAUUGUAGCCCAUGUUGUAUUGACGCCCAUUGAUUUCAAAAUUCACUAGAGUGCCUCUCCAACAGAAAACCUUGAAAAUAAAUGAGAUCUUUGCAGAACAUUUAGAUUGUUGUUAGAUCCUAGCAAUGCAAAUCCACAGGUCAUUUGAUGUCACAUCUUCUAUUAUUAUAAUUGCAGCUCUACCCUUUCCUUUGAAUUGUCCAUGCAACGUCGUAGGGCAAAGCUCCCACUUCCAAUGCAUGCAAUCAACACCUCCAAGCAUUCCUGGAAAGCCUUUUGACACACCCAUCUCAAGAAAUCUUGUCGUGUCCUCUUCGUUUGGAGCUCGAAGAUAUUCUUCUCCAAAUAUCUCAACGAAGAUAGCACUUUUUUUCAAACUGGCAAGUACUCUCUGCCACUCCAAUCCAAUCAUCAACAGAAUCAGCUGGACAUCCAUAUGCAAGCAUUCUCUCGGCACCACAAACUUUUUUCAAACUGUUGUGACCUUGUUGACGAGCUGCAUUUCUUUUUUGUUGAAAGAACGAGUGGUGUUCUUCGACGGCAAGAGCAAUGCGGAAGAACAAACUCAUUGACAUUCGGAAUCUUCUCCUAAAAGUUUUUGCACCAUAUACCGGAUUCUCUCCAAAGUAGUCCCUGUUCCGACGGAGCACAUGAUGACGAGCCACCGAACCUUCCUACUUCGGCUUCUUGUUUGCCAUCGUAUCUGUGUGCAAAGCCAUCACACGGCCGAUUUCUUCAUCCUCGUCGGAGGAUGAGUCCCGAGAAAAAGAUUGAAAAAGAGCGUUCACCUACAAUGAACAAGAAAAAACUAUGAUCAAAGGCAUUGUCGUACAAAAAAAAUUCAAAACGUAAAAAAAUGGGUCAAGAAUAUCAUCGAAUACAUUCGCCACGUUGGAUUCUUGAGCGAAGGAUAGCACACAUCGACGGAGCAGGGCAGGGGAGAGAGAGGCGGGGUGGCCGCAGAAGGAGCCCACACCGCACCGGGGCCGCGGCGGCGUAACGAUGGCUUGGUUGNNNNNNNNNNNNNNNNNNNNNNNNNNNNNNNNNNNNNNNNNNNNNNNNNNNNNNNNNNNNNNNNNNNNNNNNNNNNNNNNNNNNNNNNNNNNNNNNNNNNNNNNNNNNNNNNNNNNNNNNNNNNNNNNNNNNNNNNNNNNNNNNNNNNNNNNNNNNNNNNNNNNNNNNNNNNNNNNNNNNNNNNNNNNNNNNNNNNNNNNNNNNNNNNNNNNNNNNNNNNNNNNNNNNNNNNNNNNNNNNNNNNNNNNNNNNNNNNNNNNNNNNNNNNNNNNNNNNNNNNNNNNNNNNNNNNNNNNNNNNNNNNNNNNNNNNNNNNNNNNNNNNNNNNNNNNNNNNNNNNNNNNNNNNNNNNAUGGUGGCCUGAAGUUUCAGUUGGCCAAAAUAUUACGGGUUGUAAUACUUCCCCUAAAGUAGAGGGAUGUUCAUGUCAAAUUUGCAUGAUCCUCUAAAUUUAUUCUAUGUUUACAGGAUCUGUUGGAGACCAUUUUUUCCCAAAUUUCUUCUAAACGGUACUCUACGCGCCUUUUUUUGUCAAAUAUAUGCACCUUUGUUAAAGUUGCUCUGAGUUAUAUUCUAAAGAAAGUGUGUACGUUCUCUGAUCUUCCUCUCGGGUACACUUAUCUGUCUGCAUUUUGUUUGUGGAUCCACGGAAGUCGGAAGAGAUCAACAUUAGUUUAAGAGUAACGGCAUUGUUUACUUCAACUGAUCGUUUGUGCUACUUCACCAUGCUCUGAACUGAUACUCUUUUGCAUGAUGGUAAGUAAUAGGAGUAACACCCCGCAAAAAAAAAGGUGAUAGAAAUAGCAUGUACAGUGUUCAUUCUUGCCUGACCCGGAAUGAUUCAUCAAAUGCACUCACCAAAACUCCAUUUGCAUCAGAGGGAGCUUGCUCGGCAAAUUUGCAUAAACAUCACCAAAUUUAUCAUCCAUCUUGACACCGAAUUUCUACACGUGCCUACUCAUCAGUGCUAUUCAGCCUCUCCAUUGUGCAUAUGCAACCUUCACGUCUCGGUCACAUUGUAGAACAGAGAACACAAAAUAUGCAGGUCGAUCGUGGAGACAGUAAUCCCUUCCUUUUCAGCAAGGCCUCCUGGUCAAAGAUUCAAAGCCUAGCUGCCUCGCAACACAAUGGACAGUUCUUGUACUAGAAUUAUAGUUAGAACAAAAGCAAUCUCUCUACAACUUCAGAGGUUGUAUCUGCAGGACUCAAGAAUCAGACGAAGGCAGAAAGUUCCACUGAAAAGAGCAUUACUAUUUCUUCAGACCGACAGGCGAUACAAUCUGAUUCUCACAAGAUAACAUCUUCAGAACACAAACUGGCAGCUAACUACAUACAGAAUGCGACCAUCCAUUCGUCCGAUGAAGCCUAGGCUGAGGUGAACUUGGUGACGGCCUUGGUGCCCUCGGAGACGGCGUGCUUGGCGAGCUCGCCGGGGAGGACGAGGCGGACGGAGGUCUGGAUCUCCCGGGAGGUGAUGGUGGGCUUCUUGUUGUAGCGGGCCAGCUUGGCGGACUCGCCGGCGAGCUUCUCGAAGAUGUCGUUGAUGAAGGAGUUCAUGAUGGACAUGGCCU